rnacentral:lncRNA from 1 species
AAAUUGUUAAGGAGGUCUCUUCGUACCUGAAGAAGGUCGGCUACAACCCUGACAAGGUUCCCUUCGUCCCCAUCUCUGGGUUUGAGGGUGACAACAUGAUUGAGAGGUCCACCAACCUUGACUGGUACAAGGGCCCAACCCUGCUUGAGGCGCUUGACCAGAUCAACGAGCCCAAGAGGCCCUCAGACAAGCCCCUCCGUCUUCCCCUCCAGGACGUUUACAAGAUUGGUGGCAUUGGAACUGUGCCUGUUGGCCGUGUUGAGACUGGUGUCAUCAAGCCUGGUAUGGUUGUCACCUUUGGUCCCACUGGUCUGACAACUGAGGUCAAGUCCGUUGAGAUGCACCAUGAGUCUCUCCUGGAGGCGCUUCCUGGUGACAAUGUUGGCUUCAAUGUCAAGAACGUUGCCGUGAAGGAUCUGAAGCGUGGGUUUGUUGCAUCCAACUCCAAGGAUGACCCUGCCAAGGAGGCAGCCAACUUCACCUCCCAGGUCAUCAUCAUGAACCACCCUGGUCAGAUUGGCAACGGCUACGCCCCAGUGCUGGACUGCCACACCUCGCACAUUGCUGUCAAGUUUGCUGAGCUGGUGACCAAGAUUGACAGGCGAUCUGGUAAGGAGCUGGAGGCCCUGCCAAAGUUCCUCAAGAAUGGUGAUGCUGGCAUAGUGAAGAUGAUUCCCACCAAGCCCAUGGUUGUGGAGACCUUUGCUACUUACCCUCCUCUUGGUCGUUUUGCUGUACGUGACAUGAGGCAAACUGUGGCUGUUGGUGUCAUCAAGGGCGUCGAGAAGAAGGACCCAACCGGGGCUAAGGUGACCAAGGCUGCCAUCAAGAAGAAGUAAUUUGACAAUCGAUAUCCAAAUCACUGUUUCAGGCACCAAGCAGUUUUUAGUAUUGGCUGAGUUUUGUUAAGGGCAUUGCUCGUACUGGGUAUAUUCUAGCUGUUCAGCUGUUAGCGCUGCAUAUCGUGCCCUUAGUGGUGUCUGUCUUGUGCCUUCUACAUACUGUCCUAAUGUAAGCUUCGGUGAAACCUGGAUGUUAUGAGACUUGGUUGUGUCUUUUAAUACUAGUUUGUUGAAUUUUAUCUGUGUAGAUGCUUUAUCUAGUGCAUUUUUGGAUGCAUCUAAACGUUCUUUUGUUUUGAAGGUGUCCUUUUAUUUACAAGGUAAACCAUUUAUUCCCACUACUGAUGGUUCAUUGGUGUAUCCUCACCUCUGUUUCCUUGACAACGAAGAUGUUACUCAGACACUCCAUAUUCCAAACAGUCACAUUUCCACUACUUCUACUUUUUACUUCCGAGUGUAGCAGAACAAUUUUUUCUAAGAUUCCACAAAAAGUGGACUCAUAGACCCGAUUACAGGUGAAUGGGAUGAGCAGCUGAUUCGUGAAAACUUUUGGCACAUAGAUGCAGAACGCAUCCUACAGAUCGAUCCCCUUAGUUUUGGCACAUAGAUGCAGAAUUUUUUCAGUCAGAUCAGCUUACUAUAAACAGUGGGAGGUUUCAUAGCUUCUACCUCACGUAUUGAUCACGUUGCAGACGUUGUCUUUGCUGAAGUUGUAGCACUCCGGGAAGGUGUGAAGUUAGCUGUUUCGAUGGGUUGUAAUAACAUCAUGGCGAGGAUGGAUAACUUCAUUGUAGUAAACGCUCUACAACUGAAUGAAGGACAAUCAAUGGUGGUUGGCCCUGUUUUGGACGAAUGCAGAGAGUUACUAAGAGGUUUUGGGAAGGUUAUUCUUAAGCAUUGUAAUAGAGUCAAAUAUGACUGCUCAUGCGCUAGCUGAAUAUGGCCGUGCAAACGAUCCAUCUCUGUGGAUCGAGGCACCGCCAAGUUUCAUUGCCAAUUCCUUGGCAGAUGAUGUAUCUGUUAUUUAGUUUAAUAAAGCUAGCCAUGAAGGCCUUCCCGUCAAAAAAAAAGAAAAAAGAAAAGAGAUGACAUGCAGAAUAUGGUUUCAUCAAAUAAUCAAAACUCAAAUUGAAAGUCUUUUCAGCCACGGCGUGCCAUUGGGCGGUGAUCUAUUGAUGCAAUUGGUUGCUCCACUCCCCUCUUUAUCACUUAGUUUGAGUAGUACCAGUUAUAAAUUGCUGGUAUCUUAGAAUCAGAUGUAUAUGAUGCACUAAAGCAUGGUUAACAUUUGUCAAUCCGUGAUGUAAUGGAGUGUCAUCAACUGCUAAACGCUCAUGUUUAAGUUUGAGGUUUAUAUGAUGACAUUGCACAAGUUAGUCGACAUGUCAACCCUCUACAUUGCACAAGUCAGUCACAAGUCAAGUAAUACUGUUUUGGUUAUCUAUAGCUCUUAAGAUCUCUUAAGAUCAGUCCAUAUCAGAAACGGGGAAAUUUUAUCACAAUGACUAAAUAAAAAGAGACAAUAGGAUUUGGGCUUCGCUAUUCAUGAUAGUCUCUCUGAUAACGUUGCACAAAUUAAAUGGCAUGUCAAUUAUCUCCACAACUCGUUAUAUUUCAUCCCCAACAAACAUUCAAUUGAUGUUCUUUCGAUAAUANNNNNNNNNNNNNNNNNNNNNNNNNNNNNNNNNNNNNNNNNNNNNNNNNNNNNNNNNNNNNNNNNNNNNNNNNNNNNNNNNNNNNNNNNNNNNNNNNNNNNNNNNNNNNNNNNNNNNNNNNNNNNNNNNNNNNNNNNNNNNNNNNNNNNNNNNNNNNNNNNNNNNNNNNNNNNNNNNNNNNNNNNNNNNNNNNNNNNNNNNNNNNNNNNNNNNNNNNNNNNNNNNNNNNNNNNNNNNNNNNNNNNNNNNNNNNNNNNNNNNNNNNNNNNNNNNNNNNNNNNNNNNNNNNNNNNNNNNNNNNNNNNNNNNNNNNNNNNNNNNNNNNNNNNNNNNNNNNNNNNNNNNNNNNNNNNNNNNNNNNNNNNNNNNNNNNNNNNNNNNNNNNNNNNNNNNNNNNNNNNNNNNNNNNNNNNNNNNNNNNNNNNNNNNNNNNNNNNNNNNNNNNNNNNNNNNNNNNNNNNNNNNNNNNNNNNNNNNNNNNNNNNNNNNNNNNNNNNUGUAAUGGGUCGGUUUCGUUCCGACGGCCCAUUUCCAUGUUUAGUUGGUCGAAGGAACCAGAACCCAUCCGUUCCAGAGAACGGCAUAUUCUGUGUUUAUGCAGAAUCAGGUAGUUCCUCGAAAACGAGCGGACGACGCGGAACCACCUCUGUCGCCCGCCUCUCCCUCUCAGCGCCGCCCCCCUCCCGCGCCUCUCCCUCUCAGCGCCGCUCCCUUUCUCGAUCUGAGGCGGGCGCCCGCCGCUGACCAAACCACCUCGCGCUCCGGCGCUGGCCGUCCCUCGCGUCCCCGUCGUCUCCCCUCUUCCAUGGCAUGCAGCAGUAGCUUGGUAACGACCUAGCAGCGGGCGGCGUGCCAGCGGUGAGAGGCGGGCGGCGUCCCCGUCAUCCGAGAGCGCGACGAGGUUGCCGCUGUUCCUGUUCCUCUCGUCGUGGUUGACCGCCGCGUCGUCCCGACAGGCUGGUGGAUCUUCCUCUCCUGCACCUUGUUCCUAUCGUUGCUGCCGUUGGUGCUUGCCGAUUUCCUUGAGCAGCAACCUUGAUACUAAUUAUUACUCCUACUAGUUGAUUGAUUUGCCUGAAUUGAUACGAGUACUUCUGAAUUUGACGGCGAGAGCAUCGCAAGAAAUCAAUUCCUCGCUUCCUUCCACCCUGAUUGAUAUGAAUUAUUACUACUCUGUUGGUGCUUAGUACCAUUACUGGUUGAUACGAAUUUAAUACAGUUGCUAAAUGAUGUUACCACUGGUACUAGCACUCAGAAAUAAGUAAUAAUUAGUGGCACGUAUUACAUCCUACUCAUCUAACCAAACACCGAGACGGAACCAUUCCAUUCCAUCUCAUUAGCUCUACCAAACACGAAGACGGAACCAUUCCAUUCCAGUGGAAUGGAACCAUUACAUUCCAUUCCACUUGGUUCUACAACCAAACACACCCUAAAGGACCUUUAAACGAUGUCUGAAAACUAAUCAUGGUCAGGGAAACUUGCAGCACAUGUGAUCUCAUAAAUGAUCUUGAUCAACUAUUAAUCCGGUAGAUGAAAUGAGGAUAUCACCAUUACGAAAUAAGAGGAGACACUAAGAUUCAUGAAUUGCUAUUUAGGAUAGUCUAAAGUACCUCUUUAAACAACGCCUGAACACUAAUCAUGGCCACGAAAACUUGCAACGCGAGUGAACUCACAAAUGAUAUCAACUAUUAAUUGGCCAGAUGAAAAUCCACUUUCUUCCUGUCAAAUCCACUUUCUUCCUGUCAUUCUCUAAAAGUAGUAGAUGGAGGCACUUCUAAAUCAUCCAUAUCACCCUUUGAAAAACUAAGGUCAUACUCACAUUAGUAUGGUUGGGUUUAUUAUCAGAAUGCAACAACAAUGUUGGUAAAUAAAACUAAUAAUGCUGAGCUCAGAAUUUGUAUUACAAAGUACUACGACAAAACUAUAACUUAGCAACAUAUAAAAACACAAUAAAAGAUAAUAAUGAGUCCCUUUGUUGAUCUGGGAACGGACAACAGAAAGGUUCUCAGCCUCUUUUCCCAAAGUGUGACCCCGAGUUAUCGAACUCACCAUAGGACAUGAACUAACGACAAUAAUUUCUACCAAGGUUUUGUGAGAGAAUUAAAUUUCAGUUUUUAGACCGAAUCCUUACCACCUUUGCUUCAAAAACACUUAUGAUAAAACACAUGCAUGAGUAUGAGAACUUGAUUCUUACCACCACAUGUUUGUGAUCAGGAUCGUCACGAUCUUAUUUUGUGCUUUGACGGACACCCGUUAAGACGUGCUUGCAACGACUUGAAGUGGGACAUGUGUUCAAAUUACGUCUUGGUCAGAACGCGCCCUGCAUCAAGAGUCAGCUGUCUAAUCAUAGGCCCUAUCCGUCGUGCGGGGUUACCUCGGUAAUUUUAUGAUAAGUCAGACAAAAGCAUUGGCGUUUAAUGACUACACCUCAUAUAUUCCCAAGGAUUGUCUUCAUGUUAUCAUACUAAACCUUUCUGCCACUGGUGUUCAGAAUAGCGCUCCACUUCCUCCUUGCUCCUAACCUCCUCAUGGCUCAAACUCUGCGACCAUGGGUAUGUGCAGGGUCGAGGAACACGAGAGACAACUAUGAUGCAAUUUUAUUUCACACAUACACGGUGUUCAUUCAAAGUCGUUCCAUCGAUCCUGGGUACCUGCAGGAUGCGAUACAUGAUUACAAGUAUGGCUAACUUGGAGCUGGAUUGUUGUAGUGGUGAAGAUAGUGGUGGAUAUGAAGACGAGACGGGAAAUGACGUCAGGCUAGGGUGCCGGAGCCAAAUCCGUCCGCUCUCAAGGUAGGGAUCCUAAUUUAGGUGUCUUGGAACGAUGGUAAGAAGGAAUUUUACCCAGGCUCGGUCUCUCUCGAAGAGAUAAUACCCUACACCCUACUUGUGUUUAUUGCAUUGGGCUAUAGUACAAAUUACAAUUAUCUACCACGAGAUUGUUGUCUAAUAUUCUAAUCAUCCAUCGACUAGCCUUGCCUCGGUUUAUAUAAUGUACCGGAGGCCUAGAAUUUAGAAGAGUCCUUGUCUUGUGCGCCAAGUCUUGUGGAGUCUUCCUUGUAUGCGUCAUGGGCUACCCGAAGUGGCCCAGGACGGAACCGACAAAGGGGGUCCUCAGCCCAGCCCACCUGAACGGGAGCCAACAUGGGAAGUACCCCCUAGGCAAGGACAUCGACAUAGGGUUUGUGAAUGGCUUCUGGUCCAGAGAUGGAGGUUUUCUGGAGAUGCUCCUUAGCGAAUCUGGUACAAGGCCCUUUAUGAAAGUUGGAGGGUUGGACACCACUAUGCGACGGACACCUGGUACUGAUACGUCUCCAUCGUAUCUACCUUCCCAAACACUUUUGCUCUUGUUUUUUUGAAUAUUUACUACGGAGCACCACAUCCCUUUAUUUCAAAAAGUUAAGACAAACAACUAUACAACAAGAGUCUAAUGUUUAGAGGGUUAGCAAACCUACCUGCACCUAACUAGAAUUACGGGAGGGUGUUAAUCCAAGCCAAAAGUUGUUGCUUGGUGCUAUCUCCAAGCCUAUGUACAAGAAGAGAAAUGUCAUGUACAAAUUUACAUCUCCAAGUGGCAAAAGUUGCACAUUCCCCUCUGAAGGUUCUCCCAUUCCUCAAGAUCCAAAUAUUCCAGGCUGCCAUGAGCAUAACCUCAAAGAAGAAAGGGUGUACAAACCUACCCUUGGCCUGGUGGAUGCAUUGCUGGAAAUCAGAACCAUGAGACCAGUCAAUAUUCAGGUAGUUCCUAAGGAUGGUAAUGGGUAGGGUAUGGGGCGGGUAGAUCAAUACCAUACCCAUACCCAUGUAGUCAAUGGGUACAAAAUUCUACCCAUACCCGUACCCACGGGUAUGAAAUUACUCGUACCCAUACUUGGCGGGUACCCAUACCCAAUGGGUACCCAACGGGUAGAUCAAAUAAUACACAAGUUAUUCACAAUUUCACAUUCAUCGACAUCACAUUUGACAAAAAAAUAUUUAUCUCUACUCAGUAACAGAUAGCUGAGUACAUAACAAUUAUCUCAAUUCAAAUUGAUGAUUGGUGACAACUUUAACAUAGGUUCACAAUAUCACGACACACUUCACGGGUAAGGUACACGUGUUAGUAUAAACGGGUAGGAUAUGGGUAUAUCCAUGGUACAAGGCUAUACCCGUGCCCUACCCAUGAUUUAACAGGUAGGGUAUGGGCACUACCCAUGGGUAUAAAAUUGUGCCCAUACCCUGCCCAUGCGGGUACGGUAUCCGCGGGUACCCAUACCCAUGGUUAAAAUUGCCAUCCUUAGUAGUUCCAUACUCUGCAGCUGAAGUUGCAUUGGAAGAACAAAUGUGUUCUGUCUUCAUGUAUAUAAGCAUUACAUAUAACACAAAGAUUGUCUUCCUGCAUUGAUCUCCAGUGCCUUCUAACCAACAUAUCCUUGGUGUUAAGCCUGUCAAAGAACAACAACCACCCAAAUACAUUGAUUUUCAUGGUACAUUUACUCUGCCAUAGCCAUUUGCAAGGUUGAGGGAGGUGAGAGUGCAUGAUAUCAUAAAAGCUCUUGGCUAUGUAACUCCCAGAUUUGCCAAGCCAGACCCAAACAUCUGGAAGCUAUGGAUCUCUAUGAAUAUUCAAUAACCAACCACUCGUACAACGAGUUGCUAUACAAACGGUUUUAACCCCUUUCCGUGAUGGCAUUUUAAACUGUCGCCUUGCUAGUGUGGGCGAUAGGGGGAUCCUUCCCACAUGACCCAGAACUGCCGGGAAUAGGCCCUCUGGUAACACACACUGUGCAAAAUGAGCUCGUGUGCAUCCGGGCUAGCCAUCACAUACAAUUAUACAGGUGUUAGGGCAUGUCUCUCUCUAAGUAGUUUUGGUGAUUGAUGACAAUGCGUUUGCGGACUAAUCCUGUGCGUUGAGUUUUUCAGAGAUUCAUUCUUUGGCACGAGACGAUUAUUUCCCCUCAGAGCCUUAAGUGAAGACAGUGUAGUCUCUUUCAUUUCGGUUUUGGUGGACUUGAGUCAUAGGAGACACCGUACUAUCAAGAGGGGCCCCGCAAUCGAAAGGCUUGUUGGGAAACGCGGUAAUUUCAAAAAAAAUCCUACGAUCACUCAAGAUCUAUCUAGGUGAUGCAUAGCAACGAGAGGGGAGAGUGUGUCCACAUACCCUUGUAGACCGUAAGCGGAAGCGUUUCGAUAACGUGGUUGAUGUAGUCGAACGUCUUCGCAAUCUAAGUACCGAACGCACGGCACCUCCGCAUUCAGCACACGUUCAGCUCGAUGACGCCCCUUGUACUCUUGAUCCAGUUGAGGCCGAGGGUGAGUUCCGUCAGCACAACAACAUGGCAACAGUGAUGAUGAUGCUACCGGCGCAGGGCUCCGCCUAAGCUCCGCAACGGUAUGAUCGAGGUGUGUAACUAUGGAGGGGGGCACCGCACACGGCUAAUAGAUCAACUUGUGUGUCUAUGGUAUGCCCCCUGGCCACGUAUAUAAAGGAGAGAGGAGGAGGAGGCCGGCCUAGGAGGGGCACGCCUAUAAGGGGAGUCCAACUAGCGUUCCCAAUCCUAGUUGGAGUCCCCUUCCUUUUCCAAGAGGGGAGAGAGGGAAGGAAAGAUAGGGGGGCGCCGCCCCCUCCCUAGUCCAAUUCGGACUUGCCAUGGGGGGGGGGUGCGUGGCCACCCCUUGAGGCCCUUCUCUCCUUUCCCGUAUGGCCCAUUAAGGCCCACUACUUCCCCCGACGAAUUCUCGUAACUCUCCGGUACUCCGAAAAAUACCCAAAUCACUCGAAACCUUUCCGAUCUCUGAAUAUAGCCUUCCAAUAUGUCGAUCUUUACGUCUCGACCAUUUUGAGACUCCUUGUCACGUCCGUGAUCUCAUUCGGGACUCCGAACAAAAUUCGGCCAUUGUCGUGGAAUUGUCACAUCAGAUGUCCUCGUGAAAGGACUUAGUUGUGGAGCCAUCGCAACUAGGAAGUUUGAAGGGGUUAAUCGGGACAAAGGACACGAGAGGGUUUAUACUAGUUCGGCCCCUUACGGUGAAGGUAAGGCCUAUGUCUAGUUGGGUUGGUAUUGAUGUUUCGAUGACCAGGGAGCGAGAUACGCUAUGCCCGGUUCUCGAUGAGUUGUUUCUUGCCCUAAGCCGCCAGCAGGUCGUCCCCUUAUAUACACGGGUUGAUGCCCUGUGGCCUACAGAGUCCCGGCCGGCUUAUAACAGUGUCCGGCUCGGUGACUAGUUAAAACUACCUUAUGAUACAAGUCAUGCCAUUAUGGCGGUUUACUACAACGGGCCUUAAGUCGCCCGUGGGCCUUAAACCCUCUAUGAACCGCCAUCUUCAUGCUUUGGUCUUGGGCCUUUUCUCUGGUAAGUCUUCUUUGCAUAACCCGGCCCCUCCUGGGCGGCUUACUCAAAUAGUUAUAUCCCCAACAUUAGGCCCCAGAUUGAUGUGAACCUGUUCAUGUCAAUCUUAAAAUACCUCAUGGAACUCUCCUUAGUCUUUCGUCUUGCAUGAAGGUUUUAACCCGCCAUGACGUCAUCAUCUGGAUCCGGGUUAAGUCUUCGUGACGUCAUCUUCAAUAAAACUUAUUUUUACUCCGUCAUAUCUUCCAACGGAUCUUUGCCUUUACUGACCAUCCCGAGAAUCGAGGCGUCGGGGCCGCUGGAUAAUGAUGUUUCGGUCUCCUCAUUUCUCGUGCCAUCUCGGUCAGUCUUCCUUUAUAAAUAGAGCGACCUAGGUCUUCCACUCUUCCUUCUUCCAGUCGUCCUCUUCCUCUUGCUUCCUCUCGGGCUCCGCCGCCGCCGCCGUCGAACCCCUCAUCUUCACCGACCCGGGCCGCUGCAUCAACCUGACUCUGACCAGAGAUCGACAGCGAACCUCCGCAGCUCGUCCGCAUCCGUGAGUUCCUCUCCUUCCCUUUCUUAGAUCUGCAUUGGGACUUUGUCGAGUUCGUCGGCGUUCAUCAUCGCCCGACACAAACCCUCACUAGUUCUUACCUCCAAUGCCCUAUUUAGAUCGUAAAAACUACAUAGAACUAUUGCGGUACUUGUUUGUGUUGAUCUUGCAUAGAAAUAGAUCUCAUUUCCCUUGUUUGUAAACCCUCUUCGAGUGCAUGAACUUCUCUGCCCUGUUUUUAGGUCUAGAAAAUUUUCUUUUCAGAGCAAUGUUUUGAUCCAGAGUAAUAAUUGUCAUCUGUGAAACUUGUUUUUAUUACCCGGAAAACUUCUUCUGAUAAAUGCCCUUAAACACAACUGUCGAAAUGUCCGGCUUAAGUAAAUGACACAAAACCUUAGUUGCUCCUCGUGACCUGAAGAAUUUUGAAUUGCGCUUGAUACUUGUAGCGGCUUAAAUAUUGUUGCACAGCUAUCCUUAUAUCAUUAGGCCCCUCCUUAAGCCGCCGCCUUGAAUAAUUAGGAUUUUCCUCCCUGGUUAAAAUUGAAUCGGAUCUUCUUAUUUUAUCAUAGGCUAACUGUUGUCAUGGCUCCUAAGGCGGCCAAGGCCCCUGUAACCUGCAAUUGGGUCCCAUCCACAGUUACCAAGAGUAAACUGGCCGAGUUCGUGAAAUCUGGCCACCUGCCAAAAAAGGAGGUCAUGUCUUAUCGUGUCCCUGACCCGUCUGAAGAGAAGCCUCAUCCCAAAGAAGGGGAGGUGAUAGUUUUUACGGAUCACAUGAGCCGGGGAUUUGCUCCACCCGGUUCAAAAUUCUUCAGGGAGGUUUUGAAUUUCUUUGAUCUUAGACCUCAAGAUAUCGGACCCAACUCCGUGUCAAAUAUUUGCAAUUUCCAAGUCUUCUGCGAGGUGUACCUGGGAGAAGAGCCAAGUCUGCUAUUGUUCAGGGAACUUUUCUACAUGAACCGGCAAAAUGAACGUGCCAACGGGCCGAGUCUUGAGCUUGGCGGCAUCUCAAUCCAGCGACGGAGAGAUUGCCUUUUUCCUUAUGCUGAGCUACCGAGUCACCCAAAAUCUUGGAACCAGAUGUGGUUCUACUGUUAGGACACUUCUCCGGCUGAUGAGAAGCCUCUGCCCGGCUUUCGCGCCCUGCGCCUUGAAUCCAACCAUCCGUUACCAGACAAACUGACGGCUGUUGAACGUCUGCCUCUCAACCCUACCAUCAAGAAGAUCAAAGCUCUCUUGGGAAAUGGCUUAAACAGCGUCGAUCUGGUCCGAGUCUGGGUCACCUGGCGAGUACUUCCAUUAAGCCGCCGUUCCGGCUUAAUGUGUACUUAUACCGGCGAAAAAGAUGACUCGUUAUGCUAUAGUCCUGAUGACUUACCAGAUGAUGUGGUGGAGGCUACGACCCAGUCAUUGCUGAAGGAGGCACUAUGAUGAGUAACACCUUCGGCUUACUUCCCUUUUGCAAGAAGAACCCGGCCCCUGCAGUAAGUUAUCAAUCUUAACAAAUACUCUUUGCUAUGUUUUACCUUCUUUGGUACUCAUAAUUCCUUAUCUUUUCCCACAGGCCGAUGAUAACUUCUAGAAGGUCAAAUAUGACCAUGAAGCUGCAAAACAAGCCAGGGCAACCAAGAAAGCCGAAAGGAAAGCCGCCAAGACGGGAACCUCAAAGAAAAAGAGACCCAACGCCUCCAACUUACUCAGAUUGGAGGAUAGUUCUUCGGAUGAUGAAGAGGUAAUCUUUAAAUUUUCUUAAUUCCCUUGUUAUUACCUGUCUGACAUUCUAUCCCUUCAGGAGGAUACGGGGAACAGUUAAGCAACCAAUGAAGAGGUAACUAUAAUCUCCUCCAACUCAGAGCCUUUGCCAAAGCAAAAGAUCCGAAGGGUGACCCGAAAAGUAAGAUUUUCACAUGCUCUUGCUUAUCAAGAUCCUCAAUUUCUUUUGAAGCAACAACAACUUGAGAACCGGAGGCAGACCCAGAACAACAAGGAUGCGGAACUCUCUUCCGGCUUACCUGACGUAACCAGGAAGCAUUGGACUGAGGUUACCUCCAAUUUACAUUCCGUUUUACCUUUAGCGGGCUUAAUUCGUCAUCCUCUUAAUUCGUUUGACUCUGAUUAUCAGGAUACCUCUCCUUCUUCCGGUGAAUCCAUGCAGUCAAACAUGCCGGCUUUCAAAACUGCUCCCGGGUAAUGCAACCUUAUGUACCUUGAAUUUUUCUUUACCCAUGCUUGCGUAUUCAUCCUUCUGCCUUUGUUAACAGCAUGCAAGUAAAACCCAGCAAGAGGGCGAAGAAGAAUAAGCCGUCCCAAGACCCGAUUAUAACUGAACCGGUGAUUAAUGCAUCUGCUCCAGACAGCUCUGCCCAUCAGCCGCUGCCUGAUCCGGCUUCUGAUAUUCUAGUGCCAACUUCUGAUCCGCCUGCUGAAGAUACUCUCAACACAAAUGACCCGGAAACUCCUAGCCCGGUCAAGACAAAUGAACCGGAAGUGGAGAUUGUGAGGUCUCAGUUUGUUGAACCAGGGCGGCCUACCGUCCUUGCCAAAUGUUCCGCCAAGGAAGAACUUGCCGAACGCCGAAAAGCCAAAUAGGACAUUACUGAUUAUACUCACUUAAGCAUUGGUGAUAUAGUCUCGGGCUAUCUGAAUCAAGUGCAUAAUAGCCGUGACCUGAAAAUUGACAUGGUAAAACAAAUACAGCACAAAUCUGAGGUAUAACUUAUACUUUUUACCUGAGUCUUACAUACUGUACCAGCCCCAAGUCUAUUGCUUAUGAAUAAAUAUGCUGUAGACUUAGAAAUCUGCUUUACUUAUUAAUUGAACCGGUUCAAAGAGAAUAUAUUUAACCCGGUUAUAACAUGAUAGUUGUAAAUUUUGCAAUAUACAUUAGUCCCCAAGUGUCAAGUAUCUUUACUUGUAAAGUGCUUGAGACUUAAUAUGUGUGACCCGGUAGGAUAAGGUUAAAAUUCUUCAGCAUACAUUAGCCCCCAAGUGCCAAGUAUCUUUACUUGUAUAGUGCUUGGGACUUGAAUGUUACCUUACUAUAAUCCUUACCAUAACCUGGUGUAAAUGCAGGCUACCAUAAGUCAGUUUGAAUUGGAAGUCGCUGUCCUGAAGAGCCGUCUGGAAACUCAAGAACUUGAGACGCAGAAGGCUAACUCCAAAUUUGAAUUCAGUGUCUCUGAAAAUGAGAAGCUGAAGAAGAAUUUUGAGUCAGAGAAGAAAACUUGGGCUGAUGAGAAGGCUUCCCUGGUGACUCGGGCCGAAACAGCAGAAGCAUCCCUUGCAGAAGCAACAACCGAGCUGUCCGACUUAAAACGGCAGAUAUCUCAAAUGGUCUCAGCCAUCUUCGGUAAGUUAUCAUGCAAAACUUCAAACCUUGUAACCUUACAAUGACUAUGGUAAUAAUUACUUCUGGCUGACUGUUAUACUUGUGCACAUACAGGCCCUAGGAGUAUCAACCUAAAGCAAAACAUGCUGAUCAAGCUGAAAGCAGUUUAUACCUUAGUGGAACAGCUAUACUCCGGGUCACAACGUGCCUUGGCCGUUGUAGCUUUAUCAACUCCACAUCCCCGCCUUCUGCAAGACAUAUUAAAGAGCCUCACUUUUCUUCCUCAGCGGAUCCAAGACUUAAGGCGGGCGUCCUCAAGAGCCGGAGCCGUAGCCGCAUUGAGCCAGGCUAAAGCAUGGCUCCCAGAACUAGACCCGGCCGACCUUGCCCUUGGAUACCCAAGUCUGAAGGAGGAUGGCACUGCAUUUGACGACCAUGACUUCACCGCCUGUGUCAAAGCCAUACGUCCCGUGGCAACCCUUAUUGGAAACGACAUUGAUCUUAGCAAGUAUGCACCAGUGUAUGACAGUGAAAACCGGAGAAUUCCAAAUGCUCCAUAUGAUCAAAUCAGCCUGAUCCCUCCAAUUCGUAAGCAUACUUUUGCCCCUGAAGUGGACCCAGCCGGUUUAAUAGAUGAUGAAGCUGAGUUUGAAGCUUUGAGCGGCAUUGACUGGGCCUCAUCAACUUUCCAGGACAAGACAGCCGACGGAGAAGCAGAGAAGGAUAACCCGAAGGCUUCAAGCCCGCCGAAGGAGUGAAUCGCCAGAUAUUUUGCAAAAAACAAUGCUUCAUUUAUUCAGACUCGGGGAGUCUUGUAAUAGGGUAGAAAAACCUCUCAACUUUGUCAUGCCUUCGCGCAUGUUUAUGGCGCUUAAUACUUUCAUAAGCUGCCAUUGCUAUAUAUUUCCAGCUUAUGUUGAUCAUUUGCCUCCCUGAUGUUAAAUUUUCUUGUCUUACCCUGCACAUGAAACAAACCAAAGCUCUCUUGGCGGUUUAUCACACCGGGGGUCACAUACAGUAUUUGUAACCCGGACACGAACCAAAGGCACCUUACACCGGCCGGUUUAUGACUAUACUUUUCUAAGCAUAAACAUAAUAGCAUGCCUGUGAUCCUUUAAUAACCUUUCCUGCUGAUCCGAUGCCCACCUGGUACUUAACAACCUGGUGUGACCAAUAUAAACCAGAAAGACAAAAAACAUCUCAUAAUGUUUUCCCAAGGUCUCAGGAUAGUCAAAAUAAUCUACAAGCUUCUGAUUCGAAUACGAUCAGUAAACCGUUCCAAAGGGGUUAAGCUAAGAUUCAGAUAUGAUCAUAUAGCCCCCAGUGGCUUGGCGAUGCCGAUCAAAUGGGUAUCGACAGCUAUGUUCUCUUUGGUUCGAAUAUGACCUAUGUUUGAACAGGAAGCCCCCAAGUGACCAUGAGAUUUGUUUAAUGACGCUGAUUCGUAUACGAUCCACGUCAGACCCAAAGGGGUUAAGCUAUGAUUCAAAUAUGAUCAAGAAGCCCCCAAGUGGGUUUGGCAGUAUGCCGAUCAAGCGGGUAUCGACAACUAUGUUCUCUUUGGUUCGGAUACGACCUAUGUUUGAACAGGAAGCCCCCAAGUGGUCAUGGCUAGAUUCAGAUAUGACCAUAAGCCGGUCCAAAGGGAAAGCCGGAUUCAUAUAUGAUCCGCUCCCUGUCGGUAGUGUCCAUCACCUGAUAAAGAAGACAUAAAAACAUUCUUUAUGAGAAAAAGGACAGAGGUCCUGCUUUAUUGCUUUAUAUAAUAUGUACAUCUUCAAAAAUAUAUACAUCCUAGGAGCCGGUGGCUCAAGUAUAGUAAGGCCGAAGAUGGGCGAUAUUCCACGGCCGGCGGGUCUCCUCCUCCGACUUACAUGAGUCUUUGUAUUCUCGAAUAUCAAUGAGGUAGUAUGACCCGUUAUUCAGAUUCUUGCUGACCACAAAGGGUCCUUCCCAAGGAGGGGAUAGCUUGUGCAUAUUGGACUGAUCCUGGAUGAGCCGGAGCACUAAGUCACCUUCCUGAAAUGUUCUGCUUCUGACCCGGCGGCUGUGAUAGCGACGAAGGUCUUGCUGGUAAAUCGCUGAGCGGGCUAUGGCCAAGUCUCGCUCCUCAUCCAACAAGUCGAGUGCCUCCUGUCGAGCUCUUUCAUUAUCAGCCUCAACGUAAGCCGCCACCCGGGGCGAAUCGUGCCGGAUAUCACUUGGCAGAACUGCCUCUGCUCCAUAAACCAUGAAAAAAGGUGUAUAACCCGUGGAUCUAUUAGGCGUAGUGUUGAUGCUCCACAGCAUAGAGGGUAAUUCUUCCACCCAACAACCCGGAGUCCGCUGUAAGGGGACCAAGAGCCAUGGUUUGAUACCCCUUAAAAUUUCCUGAUUAGCUCUUUCUGCUUGACCAUUGGAUUGAGGAUGAGCAACAGCCGAAACAUCAAGCCGGAUAUGCUCUCGUUGACAGAACUCUUCCAUUGCAUCCUUGGAGAGAUUAGUGCCAUUACCAGUUAUGAUGCUAUGUGGAAAACCAAAAUGAAAGAUCACCUUUUUGAUGAACUGAACCGCCGUGGCCGCAUCACACUGACUGACCGGCUCUGCCUCAAUCCACUUUGUAAAUUUAUCCACUGCCACCAGGAGGUGUGUCUUUUUGUCCUUAGACCUCUUGAAGGGUCCCACCAUGUCAAGCCCCCAGACUACGAACGACCAAGUAAUUGGAAUCAUCCUCAAUUCUUGAGCCGACACAUGAGCUCGUCGUGAGAAUUUUUGACAUCCGCCACAUUUGCUAACAAGGUCCUCCGCAUCAGCAUGAGCCGUCAGCCAAUAAAAACCAUGACGGAAGGCCUUGGCCACCAGAGACUUUGAGCCGGCAUGGUGACCACAAUCUCCUUCAUGGAUCUCUCGAAGUAUCUCUUGACCCUCUGUAGGUGACACACAACGCUGCAACACCCCUGUGACACUGAGGUGAUGUAACUCUCCAUUAACAAUUGUCAUGGAUUUGGACCGCCUGACAAUUUGUCUUGCCAAGGUCUCAUCCUCAGGCAGCUCUCCCCGGGUCAUAUAAGCAAAGUAUGGCAAUAUCCAAUCUGGGAUGACGUGAAGUGCAUCCACCAACUGUGCCUCCGGGUCUGGCACUGCAAGCUCUUCCUCUGUAGGUACCUUGACAGAAGGAUUAUGCAGAACAUCAAGAAAGGUGUUAGGCGGUACCGGCUUACUCUAAGAGCCCAACCGCCUUAACACAUCAGCCACCUCAUUCUUCCUUCUAUCAAUGUGCUCCACCUGAUAUCCUUUGAAGUACCCAGCUACAACAUCUACUUCACGAUGAUAAGCCGCCAUAAGGGGAUCCUUAGAAUCCCAUGUGCCUGAGACCUGUUGAGCCACUAGGUCUGAGUCGCCCAAGCACCUUACCCGGCUUAAACUCAUCUCUUUAGCCAUCCGGAGACCAUGGAGCAAGGCCUCGUAUUCAGCUGCAUUGUUAGUACAAGGAAACAUGAGCCGGAGCACAUAACGAAAUUUGUCACCUCGAGGGGAAGUUAAAACAACUCCAGCCCCUGAUCCUUCUAACUGCCUAGACCCAUCAAAGUGAAUAAUCCAAUACGUAUUGUCCGGCUUCUCCUCAGGUGCCUGCAACUCUGUCCAAUCAUUGAUGAAGUCCACCAAGGCCUGAGAUUUGAUGGCAGUACGGGGCAUAUACUUCAAACCAUAAGGCCCAAGCUCAAUAGCCCACUUGGCGAUUCGUCCUGUGGCCUCCCUGUUCUGAAUGAUGUCUCCCAAAGGAGCUGAACUUACCACCGUUAUAGGAUGACUUUGGAAGUACUGCUUCAGCUUCCGGUUUGCCAUGAAUACACCAUAAACAAGCUUCUGCCAAUGUGGAUACCUUUGUUUAGACUCAAUGAGCACCUCACUGAUGUAGUAAACCGGCCUUUGAACCGGAUGCUCCUUGCCUGCCUCUUUACGCUCUACCACGAUGGCAACACUGACGGCCCGCGAGUUAGCAGCCACAUAUAACAAUAGCGGCUCUCUAUCAAUGGGAGCCGCAAGAACCGGUUGCUCAGACAACUGUCUCUUUAAAUCUUCAAAGGCAGUGUUGGCAGCAUCGCUCGAGACGAAAGUGUCCGUUUUCUUCAUCAUCUGAUAUAGCGGUAAGGCCUUCUCCCCUAACUGGCUGAUGAACCGGCUUAAAGCAGCAACACGUCCCGCCAGGUGCUGAACAUCAUUAAUACACGCCGGUUUAGCCAGAGAGGUAAUCGCUGUGAUCUUCUCCGGAUUAGCUUCAAUGCCUCUGUUUGACACCAGAAAACCCAAGAGCUUGCCUGCCGGUACACCAAACACACACUUGGCCGGGUUAAGCAUCAUCUUGUAAACCCGGAGAUUGUCAAAGGUCUCUCUCAAGUCGGAUAUUAAGGUUUCCUUUUCUCUGGAUUUCACCAUGAUGUCAUCCACAUAAGCAUGAACAUUACGCCCAAUUUGAUCGUGCAAACAGUUCUGCACACAUCGCUGAUAAGUCGCAUGGGCACUCUUGAGUCCAAACAGCAUAGAUACAUAACAGAAGGCCCCAAACGGAGUGAUGAAAGCCAUCUUCUCCUGGUCCUUAACUGCCAUCUUGAUCUGAUGAUAACCAGAGUAAGCAUCCAAGAAGCUCAAACGUUCACAACCCGCCGUAGCAUCAAUGAUUUGAUCAAUACGGGGGAGAGCAAAGGGAUCAGCCAGACAAACCUUGUUUAAGUCCGUGUAAUCCACGCACAUACGCCAAGUGCCAUUCUUCUUGAGCACCAACACCGGGUUAGCCAACCACUCCGGAUGAAAAACUUCAACAAUAAACCCGGCCGCUAAGAGCCGGGCAACCUCUUCCCCAAUAGCUUUCCGUCUCUCUUUGUUGAACUGUCGGAGAAACUGCCUGACCGGCUUGUACUUCGGAUCAAUAUUGAGAGUGUGCUCAGCGAGUUCCCUCGGUACACCCGGCAUGUCAGAAGGUUUCCAUGCAAAGAUGUCCCGGUUCUCACGGAUGAACUCGAUGAGCGCGCUUUCCUAUUUAGGAUCCAAAUUGGCACUGAUACUGAACUGCUUAGAGGCGUCUCCUGGGGUAAAGUCAACAAGCUUUGUCUCAGCGGCCGAUUUAAAUUUCAACGCCGGGUCAUGCUCAAUAGUUGGUUUUUUGAGGGAGGUCAUAUCCGCCGGGUCAACAUUGUCUUGAUAAAAUUUAAGCUCCUCCGCGGCACAAGCAGUCUCAGCGUAAGCCGCGUCGCCUUCUUCACAUUCCAAAGCCACCUUUCGACUCCCAUGCACAGUGAUGGUGCCCUUGUAACCCAGCAUCUUGAGCUGUAAGUAAACAUAACACGGCCGUGCCAUGAACUUAGCGUAAGCCGGUCGCCCAAACAAAGCGUGAUAUGGACUCCUGAUUUUGACCACUUCAAACGUCAAUUUCCCAGCCCUGGAAUCAUGCUCAUCUCCAAAAGCCACCUCAAGUUCAAUCUUGCCCACUGGGUAAGCCGACUUGCCUGGAACCACCCCGUGGAAAACAGUGUUGGAUGUUCUCAGAUUCUUUUUAGUCAACCCCAUGCGCUGGAAAGUAUCAUAAUAGAGGAUAUUGAUGCUGCUACCUCCGUCCAUGAGUACCUUAGUGAAUUUAUAUCCACCAACCUGGGGUGCUACCACCAAGGCUAACUGACCCGGAUUAUUGACUCGCGGAGGGUGAUCCUCUCUACUCCAUAUGAUGGGUUGCUCUGACCAUCUUAAAUAACGAGGAAUCGCCGGCUCAACCAAAUUUACGGCCCUCUUAAGAACCUUCUGGUCACGUUUGCAUAAGCUAGUGGUAAACACAUGGUACUGUCCACCACUCAACUGUUUCGGAUGGCUCUAAUAACCCGACUGCUGCCGCUGUUGUCCUUCCUGACCAGAUUGCUGCUGAUUAUUUCCACCCGACUAUCCCUGAAAACCGGAAUUUGAACCGCCACCCGGGCCAUGAAAGCCGCCAGCCCCUGAACCGCUGUCAGAUCCAUGAUUACCAUCAAAGGUAUUGGAAUUUUUAAACGCUUUCAUGAUCGCGCAAUCUUUCCACAGGUGUGUAGCGGGGUGCUCCCUGGUGCCAUGUUUCGGGCAAGGCUCAUUGAGUAGCUGCUCAAGAGAUGGGCCUGACCCGCCGGAUCGAGGCCACUUACCCUUACGUCUCUGAUUGUUGCCCUGCAUAUUAGCAUUGGCUACAAGCUCCAGGUUGCUGUCCGCCUUACGCUUAUUGCUGCUUUGAUUCACCGGGUUGUGUUGUUGACCCUUUCCAUUGCCGUUCCUUUUUCCCUUCCCUGUUCUCUCAUCAUCAGACGCGGGAUCCUUGGUACUAUCAGAAUCGACAUAUUUGACUAAAGCCGCCAUUAGCGUGCCCAUAUCCAUGCAGUCACGCUUAAGGCGCCCCAGCUUCUGCCUCAGCGGCUCAAAGCUGCAAUUUUUCUCCAACAUGAGGACUGCAGAGCCGGCAUCCAUCUUAUCAGAUGAAUGAAUUAUCUCCUUGACCCGGCGUACCCAAUGGGUGGUGGAUUCGCCCUCCCCCUGCUUGCAAUUUGUCAAGUCCACGAUUGACAUAGAUUGCUUACAGGUGUCCUUGAAGUUCUGGAUGAAACGGGCUUUUAACUCCUCCCACGAACUAAUGGAAUUAGGUGGUAAACUCUUUAACCAAGACCGGGCCGUUCCAUCUAACAUCAUGGUAAAGUAUUUGGCCAUUGCCGCGUCACUGACUUCCAACAGCUCCAUGGCCAUCUCAUAGCUCUUAAUCUAGGCUCCAGGUUGUAAAUCGACCGUGUAAUUCGACACCUUUCGAGGUCCCUUGAAGUCCUUGGGCAGGCGCAUGUUACGCAAAGCCGGUAUCAAACAAGGAACACCACCGGUUCUGGUGGCUACCCCCAUCUCAGUGCAAGUUUUUGGAUACUCUGUAAUAUUCUAAUGUGCCGCCAGUUGAGCCGCCAGCUGAACCGCCCGCUCGUUCUCCUGACGUACUCGGUCCUGUACCGGGUUAUAGCCACCAUGUUGGUCGCAGCGUUGGGUGUUGCUUGACAAAGCUUCAGAUUCCAUGUGCCUGCUGUAACUCGGACUCCGGUUCUGACGAGGCGGUGCUAACCAAGGCAGAGGAGUUGAAUGAAUCCUAUCCCGGCUAUAAGAAUAGGUCUCUUGCUGAGCCAGGGCCGACUGGACAAGUUCCUUGAUUCUCCGGGUCUCCACCGCUGUUGGAUCAUCACCAUCCACUGGGAGAGCCGCCAGACGCGCUGAUGUUGCGAUUAAGUUCUCCAUGGGGUUGGAAAAGUGACCCAGCGGUAUCGGCACAUAACGUGGCGGUGCCAUGCUCAUAUGAGGAGGUGGCAUGUCUCGACGCUGAGUCGGUCCUCCUGCUCCGGAUGUCAUAAGCUGAUUGGCAUCUGGCGGGUUACUUGGGCCGGCUCUGGGUGUAGCGAAAAGAACCCGAGGGUCGUAAUUCAGAGGUAACCGGGAUUGGGUCUUCUGGUGUCUCCUCCUCAUUACCUCAUUGGACGCGUUUAAGCUCAUCGUGAGCUGGUAAGCCUCUCACUACAACCGCUGUGCCCGGGCGUCGAGAGCCGCCCGCUCUGUAGCUAGUCUAGUAUCCUCAGCUGCCAAGGCCUCCUUGGCCUGAGCUAUCUCCUCACGUACCCGUGCCACCUCCGCGUCAUGCUCAUCUUUGUUCGCAGGGAUAACCGUGGCGGUUAACAGGGUCAUAAGCUUGUCCAUGAGGUCUAUCAACACUUGAGCCGGCGGGCGCACAUGGCCUCCUGCCCCAGCCACUCCUAUCCUGGACGUAAUUGCAGUAGCGGCUGUAGAGUUUUGACUAGGUUGAGUCCCAGCCAUGAAGACUCCUGCCCAAUUCGGCGACUCACACGGGUCCGGAAUACUGAAGCCAUCGGAACAGCCCCCGAGCACACCAUCUUGAACUUGAUACAGAGAAUCUGUUGAACCGGCGGACGAAUCACCGUCAGAGUGGACGACCGUCUCACCACCAUCUUCAGGACUUUCGGAAAGCUCUUCUCUGUGGACACAACCCACCAAGACACGCUUCAUGCCGGGUUGAGCCUGGGUGGUUUUCGCACGCUGAGCCGUCUCGACGAGGUCGGUGCAGUUGUCCGGCUCAGACCCUGGCUCGCCAAUCCAGUCGAUGAAGACGUGGAUCCCUCCGAAGGGGACCCGGUACCCGUACUCAACUGAGCCGGCGUCAGGGCCCCAGCCUUCAUCGUCGAUGUAGAUCUUGCUGCGACGACUCUUGGUCAUCCGGCCCACUACGUAUCCCUUGAGCCCUUCGAAGUUGCCCUUCAAGAACUCAAAUCCACCGUGCGCUGGCCCCAUAGUGGGCGCCAACUGUCAUGGAAUUGUCACGUCAGAUGUCCUCGUAAAAGGACUUAGUUGUGGAGCCAUCGCAACUAGGAAGCUUGAAGGGGUUAAUCGGGACAAAGGACACGAGAGGGUUUAUACUAGUUCAACCCCUUACGGUGAAGGUAAGGCCUACGUCUAGCUGGGUUGGUAUUGAUGUUUCGAUGACCAGGGAGCGAGAUACGCUAUGCCCGAUUCUCGAUGAGUUGUUUCUUGCCCUAAGCCGCCAAUAGGUCGCCCCCUUAUAUACACGGGUUGACGCCCUAUGGCCUACAGAGUCCCGUCCGGCUUAUAACAGUGUCCGGCUCGGUGACUAGUUAAAACUACCUUAUGAUACAAGUCAUGCCAUUAUGGCGGUUUACUACAACGGGCCUUAAGUCGCCCGUGGGCCUUAAACCCUCUAUGAACCGCCAUCUUCAUGCUUCGGUCUUGGGCCUUUUCUCUGGUAAGUCUUCUUUGCAUAACCCGGCCCCUCCUGGGCGGCUUACUCAAAUAGUUAUAUCCCCAACAGUCAUCAAAUCACAUAACUCAUAAUACAAAUCGUCAUCGAACGUUAAGCGUGCGGACCCUACGGGUUUGAGAACUAUGUAGACAUGACCGAGACACGUCUCCGGUCAAUAACCAAUAGCGUAACCUGGAUGCUCAUAUUGGUUCCUACAUAUUCUUCAAAGAUCUUUAUUGGUCAAACCGCAUAACAACAUACGUUGUUCCCUUUGUCAUCGGUAUGUUACUUGCCCGAGAUUCGAUCGUCGGUAUUAUCAUACCUAGUUCAAUCUCGUUACCGGCAAGUCUCUUUACUCAUUCCGUAAUACUUCAUCCCGCAACUAACUCAUAAGUCACAAUGCUUGCAGGGCUUAUAGUGAUGAGUAUUACCGAGAGUGCCCAGAGAUACCUCUCCGAAACACGGAGUGACAAAUCCUAAUCUCGAUCUAUGCCAACCCAACAAACACCUUCGGAGACACCUGUAGAGCACCUUUAUAAUCACCCAUUUACAUUGUGAAGUUUGGUAGCACACAAAGUGUUCCUCCAGUAUUCGGGAGUUGCAUAAUCUCAUAGUCUGAGGAACAUGUAUAAGUCAUGAAGAGAGCAGUAGCAAUGAAACUGUAACGAUCAUAAUGCUAAGCUAACGGAUGGGUCAUGUCCAUCACAUCAUUCUCCUAAUGAUGUGAUCCUGUUCAUCAAAUGACAACACAUGUCUAUGGUUAGGAAACAUAACCAUCUUUGAUUAACGAGCUAGUCAAGUAGAGGCAUACUAGGGACACUAUGUUUUGUCUACGUAUUCACACAUGUACUAAGUUUCCGGUUAAUACAAUUCUAGCAUGAAUAAUAAACAUUUAUCAUGAAAUAAGGAAAUAAAUAAUAAAUUUAUAAUUGCCUCUAGGGCAUAUUUCCUUCAGUCUCCCACUUGCACUAGAGCCAAUAAUCUAGUUCACAUCGCCAUGUGAUUUAACACCAAUAGUUCACAUUUGUAUGUGAUUAACACCCAUAGUUCACAUCGCCAUGUGAUGAACACCCAAAGGGUUUACUAGAGUCAAUAAUCUAGUUCACAUUGCUAUGCGAUUAACACCCAAAGAGUACUAAGGUGUGAUCACGUUUUGCUUAUGAGAGAAGUUUAGUCAACGGGUCUGUCACAUUCAGAGACGUAUGUAUUUUGCAAAUAUUCUAUGUCUACAAUGCUCUGCAUAGAGCUACUCUAGCUAAUUGCUCACACUUUCAAUAUGUAUCCAGAUUAACACUCAGAGUCAUAUGGAUUGUUGUAAAGUUUGCAUCAAUGUAAUUCUUUACGACGAGCUCUUUUAUCACCUCCAUAAUCGAGAAAUAUUUCCUUAGUCCUCAGUAAGUAUAAUCUUGACCGCUGUCCAGUGAUCUACUCCUAGAUCAAAAUUGUACUCCCUUGCCAAACUCAGGGCAGGGUACACAAUAGGUCUGGUACACAGCACAUCAUACUUUAUAGAACCUAUGACUGUGGCAUAGGGAAUGACUUUCAUUAUCUUUCUACUUUCUGCCGUGGUCGGGAUUUGAGUCUUACUCAACUUUACACCUUGUAAUACAAGCAAGAACCCUUUCUUUGACUGAUCCAUUUUGAACUUCUUCAAAACUUUACCAAGGUAUGUGCUUUGUGGAAAUCCAAAUAAGCGUCUUGAUCUAUCUCUAUAGAUCUUGAUGCCCAAUAUGUAAGCAGCUUCACCGAGGUCUUUCAUUGAAAAACUCUUAUUCAAGUAUCCCUUUAUGCUAUCCAGAAAUUCUAUAUUAUUUCCAAUCAACAAUAUGUCAUCCACAUAUAAUAUUAGAAAUGCUAUAGAGCUCCCGCUCACUUUCUUGUAAAUACAGGCUUCAUUGCAAGUCUGUAUAAAACCAUAUGCUUUGAUCAACUCAUCAAGGCGUAUAUUCCAACUCCGAGAUGCUCGCACCAGUCCAUAGAUGGAUUGCUGGAGCUUGCACACCUGGUUAGUACCUUUAGGAUUGACAAAACCUUCUAGUUGCAUCAUAUAAAACUCUUCUUUAAGAAAUAUCCAUUUAAGGAAUGUAGUUUUGACAUACAUUUGCCAGAUUUCAUAAAAUAUGGCAACUGCUAACAUGAUUCAGACGGAUUUACGCAUCGCUAUAGUUGAGAAAAUCUCAUUGUAGUCAACACCUUGAACUUGUCGAAAACCUUUUGCGACAAGUUGAGCUUUGUAGAUAGUAACACUACUAUCAAUGUCUGUCUGCCUCUUGAAGAUCCAUUUAUUUAAUAUGGCUUGCCGACCAUCGGGCAAGUCCACCAAAGUCCACACUUUGUUCUCAUACAUGGAUCCCAUCUCAGAUUUCAUGGCCUCAAGCCAUUUUGCGGAAUAUGGGCUCAUCAGUGCUUCCUCAUAGUUCAUAGGUUCAUCAUGGUCUCGUAACAUGACUUUCAGAAUAGGAUUACCAUACCACUCUGGUGCGGACCGUACUCUGGAAGACCUACGAAGUUUCAUGAUCAUCAUCAUUAGCUUCCUCACUAAUUGGUGUAGGAAUCACUAGAACUAAUUUCUGUGAUGAACUACUUUCCAAUUCGGGAGAAGGUACAAUUACCUCAUCAAGCUUUAUUUUCCUCCCACUCACUUCUCGAGAGAAACUCCUUCUCUAGAAAGGAUCCAUUCUUAACAACAAAUAUCUUGCCUUCGGAUCUGUGAUAGAGGGUGUACCUAACAGUUUCCUUUGGGUAUCUAUGAAGAUGCAGUUCUCCGAUUUGGGUUAGAGUUUAUUAGGUUGAAGCUUUUUCACAUAAGCAUCGCAGCCCCAAACUUUAAGAAAUGACAACUUUGGUUUCUUGCCAAACCAUAGUUCAUAAGGCGUCGUCUCAACGGAUUUUGAUGGUGCCCUGUUUAACGUGAAUGUAGCUGUCUCUAAUGCAUAACCCCAAAACAAUAGUGGUAACCUGGUAAGAGACAUCAUAGAUCGCACCAUAUCCAAUAAAGUGCGGUUACGACAUUCGAACACACCAUUACGCAGUGGUGUUCCAUGUGGCGUGAGCUGUGAAACUAUUCCACAUUGUUUUAAAUGAAGACCAAACUCGUAACUCAAAUAUUCUCCUCUACGAUCAGAUCGUAGAAACUUUAUUUUCUUGUUACGAUGAUUAUCCACUUCACUCUGAAAUUCCUUGAACUUUUCAAAUGUUUUAGACUUGUGUUUCAUUAAGUAGAUAUACCCAUAUCCGCUCAAAUCAUUUGUGAAGGUCAGAAAAUAACGAUACCCGCCACGAGCAUCAACACUCAUUGGACCGCACACAUCAUUAUGUAUUAUUUCCAAUAAGUCACUAGCUCGUUUCAUUGUUCCAGAGAACGGAGUUUUAGUCAUCUUGCCCAUAAGGCACAGUUCGCAAACAUCAAAUGAUUCAUAAUCAAGUGAUUCCAAAAAUCCAUAUUUAUGGAGUUUCUUCAUGCGCUUUACACUGAUAUGACCCAAAUGAUAGUUCCAUAAAUAUGUUGCACUAUCAUUAUCAACUUUGCAUCUUUUGGCAUCAAUAUUAUGAAUAUGCGUAUCACUACGAUCAAGAUUCAAUAAACCAUCAACAUUGGGUGUAUGACCAUAGAAGGUUUUAUUCAUGUAAACAGAAUAACAACUUAUUCUCUGUCUUAGAUGAAUAAUCGUAUCGCAAUAAACAUGAUCCAAUCAUAUUUAUGCUCAACGCAAACACUAAAUAACAUUUAUUUAGGUUCAACACUAAUCUCGAAAGUAUAGGGAGUGUGCGAUGAUGAUCAUAUAAAUCUUAAAACCACUACCAACACACAUCGUCACUUUACCCUCAACUAGUCUCUGUUUAUUCUGUAACUCCUGUUUUGAGUUACUAAUCUCAGCAACCGAACAAGUAUCAAAUACCCAGGGGCUACUAUAAACACUAGAAAGGUACGCAUAAAUAACCUGUAUAUCAAAUAUACCCUUGUUCACUUUGCCAUCCUUCUUAUCCACCAAAUAUUCAGGGCAUUUCCGCUUCCAGUGACCAUUUCCUUUGCAAUAGAAGCACUCAGUUUCAGGCUUUAGUCUAGCUUUGGGCUUCUUCACGGAAGUGACAACUUGCUUGCCAUUCUACUUGAAGUUUCCUUUCUUUCCCUUUGCCCUUUUCUUGAAACUAGUGAUCUUGUUUAAUCAUCAACACUUGAUGCUCUUUCUUGAUUUCUAUCUUCGUUGAUUUCAGCAUCAGGAAGAGCUCAGGAAUCGUUUUUGUCAUCCUUUGCAUACUAUAGUUCAUCACGAAGUUCCAGUAACUUGGUGAUGGUGACUAGAGAACUCUGUCAAUCACUAUCUUAUCUCAAAGAUUAACUCCCACUUGAUUCAAGCGAUUGUAGUACCCAGACAAUAUGAGCAUAUGCUCACUGCUUAAGCUAUUCUCCUCCAUCUUUUAGCUAUAGAACUUGUUGGAGACUUCAUAUCUCUCAACUCGGGUAUUUGCUUGAAAUAUUAACUUCAACUCCUGAAACAUCUCAUAUGGUCCAUGACAUUCAAAACGUCUUUGAAGUCCUGAUUCUAAGCCGUUAAGCAUGGUGCAGUAAACUAUCAAGUAGUCAUCAUAUUGAGCUAGCCAAACGUUCAUAACGUCUGCAUCUGCUCCUGCAAUAGGUCUGUCACCUAGCGGUGCAUCCAGGACAUAAUUCUUCUAUGCAGUAAUGAGGAUAAACCUCAUAUCACGGACCCAGUCUGCAUCAUUUCUACUAUCAUCUUUCAACUCAAUUUUCUCUAGGAACAUAUCAAAAGUAAAACAGGGGAGCUAUACGCGAGCUAUUGAUCUACAACAUUAUUUGCAAAAUACUAUCAGGACUAAGUUCAUGAUAAAUUAAAGUUCAAUUAAUCAUAUUACUUAAGAACUCCCACUUAGAUAGACAUCCCUCUAAUCAUCUAAGUGAUCACGUGAUCCAAAUCAACUAAACCAUGUCCGAUCAUCACGUGAGAUGGAGUAGUUUUCAAAGGUGAACAUCACUAUGUUGAUCAUAUCUACUAUAUGAUUCACGCUCGACCUUUCGGUCUCAAUGUUCCGAGGCCAUAUCUGCAUAUGCUAGGCUCGUCAAGUUUAACUCGAGUAUUCUGCGUGUGCAAAACUGGCCCGCACCCGUUGUAUGUGAACGUAGAGCUUAUCACACCCGAUCAUCACGUGGUGUCUCGGCACGACGAACUAUAGCAACGGUGCAUACUCAGGGAGAACACUUAUACCUUGAAAUUUAGUAAGGGAUUGAUACGUCUCCAAUGUAUCUAUAAUUUUUGAUUGUUCCAUGCUAUUAUAUUACCCCUUUUGGAUGUUUAUGGGAUUUAUUUUACACAUUUAUAUCAUUUUUGGGACUAACCUACUAACCGGAGGCCCAGCCCGUAUUGCUGUUUUUUUUGCCUAUUUCAGUAUUUCGAAGAAAAGGAAUAUCAAACGGAGUCCAAAUGGAAUGAAACUUUCAGGAGCAUGAUUUUUGGAAUGAAUGUGAUCCAGAGGACUUGGAGUGCAAGUCAAGAAGCAGUCAAGGCUCCCAUGAGAUAGGAGGGUGCGCCCCUGUCUUGUGGGCCCCUUGGGCGUCCACCGACGUACUUCUUCCUCCUAUAUAAGCCUACGUACCCCGAAAACAUCUAGAGGGCAGACAAAACACAAUUUCCACCAGCGUAACCUUUUGUAUCCGUGAGAUCUCAUCUUGGAGCCUUCGCCGGCACUCUGCCGGAGGGGGAAUCAACCACGGAUGGCUUCUACAUCAACAUCCUUGCCCCUCCGAUGAGUUGUGAGUAGUUUACCACAGACCUACGGGUCCAUACUUAUUAGCUAGAUGGCUUCUUCUAUCGUUUUGGAUCUCAAUACAAUGUUCUCCCCCUCUAUUGUUGAGAUCUACUCGAUGUAAACUCUUUUUGCGGUGUGUUUGUCGAGAUCCGAUGAAUUGUGGGUUUAUGAUCAAGUUUAUCUAUGAAUAAUAUUUGAAUCUUCUCUGAAUUCUUUUAUGUAUGAUUGAGUUAUCUUUGCAAGUCUCUUCGAAUUAUCAGUUUGGUUUGGCCUACUAGAUUGAUCUUUCUUGCCAUGGGAGAAGUGCUUAGCUUUGGGUUCAAUCUUGCGGUGUCCUUACCUAGUGACAGAAAGGGUUUCAAGGCACGUAUUGUAUUGUUGCCAUCGAGGAUAACAAGAUUGGGUUUAUAUCAUAUUGCUUGAGUUUAUCCCUCUACAUCAUGUCAUAUUGCUUAAUGCGUUACUCUGUUCUUAUGAACUUAAUACUCUAGAUGCAGGCAGGAGUCGGUCGAUGUGUGGAGUAAUAGUAGUAGAUGCAGGCAGGAGUCGGUCUACUUGUUGCGGACGUGAUGCCUAUAUACAUGAUCAUGCCUAGAUAAUCUCAUAAAUAUUCGCUUUUCUAUCAAUUGCUCGAUAGUAAUUUUUUCACCCACCGUAAUACUUAUGCUAUCUUGAGAGAAGCCACUAGUGAAACCUAUGGCCCCCUGGUCUAUCUCUUAUCAUAUUUGCUUCCAAUCUACUUUUAUUUGCAUCUUUACUUUUUGCAUCUAUAUUAUAAAAUACCAAAAAUAUAUCUAUCUUAUCAUACUAUCUUUAUUGGAUCUCACUUUCGCAAGUGGCCGUGAAGGGAUUGACAACCCCUUUAUUGCGUUGGUUGCGAGUUCUUUGUUUGUUUGUGUAGGUGCGUGGGACUUUUGAGGAGCCUCCUACUGGAUUGAUACCUUGGUUCUCAAAAACCGAGGGAAAUACUUAUGCUACUAUUGCUGCAUCAGCCUCUCCUCUUCGAGGAAAACCAACGCAAGCUCAAGACGUAGCAAGAAGGAUUUCUGGCGCCGUUGCCGGGGAGGUAUUGGCUCAAUUCAAGACAUACCAAGUACCCAUCACAAACCCAUCUUCUUCGCAUUUAUAUUAUUUUCCAUUUGCCUCUCGUUUUCCUCUCCCCCACUUCACCCUUGUAGUUUUAUUUGCCCUCUCUUUCCCAAUAUCCUCCUCUCUCUUUCGCUUGCCUUUUCUCCGUUUGCCCGUGUGUUAGUUCAUCUACCUUGUCAUUAUGGCUAGUCCUCCUAUCCUUAUUCUCACUCCUGAACAAGAAAUUCUCAAUUUUAAGCAAAGGGAGGAAGAAAAUUUAAAAGAUGCUUGUCAUAGAAUUUGCAAUGCUCAAUGUAAAUCUUCUAGGAAGCUUUCCACUCCCGUUCUUCUCCGCAAUUUUUAUGUAGGAAUUACUCCUUGGAAUAGAUGUGUUCUUGAUAUUUCUAUCGGAGGUGAUUUCUUGAGUAGCCAUACGUUUGAUGCUUAUAAUGCUAUGUUAGAUUUGUUUGGCCCACCACAUCUUUUGGUCAAUGGAACCGUUUUAACUUUAGAACACGUUAUGCAAGGACUUGAGAUUAUUGAAAAUAAGAUUGCCACUGUUGAGUUGAUCGAAAAUUUGGAUAAAAAGAUUCAUACUCACAUUACCCAAUAUGGAUCUAGGGUUGGAGUUACUUUGAAAAAUCUUAAAGAAAAGGAACCUAUAGACAAUGAAAAAAAUUGAUCUAGACUCUGCUAGAAUCGGUAAAUUUGAGGAUAUCAUUACAAACUUAGGUUCCACGUUUUCCUCCAUGAAAAACACUCAAAAACCCCCUACUAAAACUUCCAAGUUUAUUUAUGUUCCUAAAAAUAAGGGUGAAUCUUCUAGUAAGGGAGAUGCGGAUCUCAAAUCCAUAAGUGUUCAUCCCAAUUGUCUCUCUAUCGUUAAGGAACCUUUUGCUACCAACGAAUUUCUUGAAUUUUUGCCUAAAGGUUUAGCCAUUGCUAAAAAGGGAGAAACCCCUAUAGACCACAAGUGCUCUAUUGAUGAAUUUCAUGCCAAAGAUGGCACCCAUUAGAUCUAUCUUGGCUUUUAUGCCUAGCUAGGGGCGUUAAACGAUAGCGCUAGUUGGGAGGCAACCCAAUUUUAUUUUUGUUUUUUGUUUUUGCUCCUGUUUAGUAAUAAAUCUUGCAUCUACCUUCUGUUUAGAUGUGUUUUUAUCUUUUAAUUAGUGUUUGUGCCAAGUAGAACCUAUAGGAUAACCUAUGUUGAUAGUUGAUUUGAUUCUGCUGAAAAACAGAAACUUUGCGCGCACGAAUAUAAUUUUGUUAAAUCACAGAAACGUGCUUUUGCGUUGAUUCUUUUUGAUUAUGAUCAAUAAACAAAUUUUCCAGGACUUACUAUUUUGGUAGGAUUUUUAGAGUUCCAUAAGUUUGCGUUAGUUACAGAUUUCUAAAGACUAUUCUGUUUUUGACAGAUUCUGUUUUUCGUGUGUUGUUUGCUUAUUUUGAUGCAUCUAUGGCUAGUAAAAUAGUUUAUAAACCAUAGAGAAGUUGGAAUACAGUAGGUUUAACACAAAAAUAAAUAAAGAAUGAGUUCAUUAUAGUACCUUAUGUGGUGGUUUUGUUUUCUUUCACUAACGGAGCUUAUAAGAUUUCCUGUUGAGUUUUGUGUUGUGAAGUUUUCAAGUUUUGGGUAUAGCUUUUAUGGACUAUGGAAUAAGGAGUGGCAAGAGCCUAAGCUUGGGGAUGCCCAAGACACCCCAAGAUAUUCAAGAAUAGCCAAAAGCCUAAGCUUGGGGAUGCCCCGGGAAUGCAUCCCCUCUUUCGUCUUCGUUCAUUGGUAACUUUACUUGGAGCUAUAUUUUUAUUCGCCACAUGAUAUGUGUUUUGCUUAGAGCGUCGUGUAUUAUAUUAGUCUUUGGUUUUUAGUUUAACACAAUCAUCCUUGCUGUACACACCUUUUGGGAGAAGCCUAUUUGGUUAGAAUUUGCUAGAAUACUCUAUGUGCUUCACUUAGAUCUUUUGAGCUUGAUAGUUUUUGCUCUAGUGCUUCACUUAUAUUUUUUAGAGCACGGUGGUGGCUUAUUUUGAAGAAAUUUCUAGUCUCUCAUGCUUCACUUAUAUCUUUUUGAGAGUCUUUUAGAACAGCAUGGUAUUUGCUAUGGUCAUAAAGUUGGUCCUAGAAUGAUGAGCAUCCAAGUUGGGUAUAAUAAAAACUAUCAUAGAAAAAGAAUUGGAUGCUAUGAUCAAUAUGAUGCUUGAUAAUUGUUUUGAGAUAUGGAGGUAGUGAUAUUAGAGUCAUGCUAGUUGAGGUGAUUAUGAAAAAUACUUGUGUUAAGGGUUGUGAUUCCCGUAGCAUGCAUGUAUGGUGAACCGCUUUGUGAUGAAGUUGGAGCACAAAUUUUUUAUUGAGUGUCUUCCUUAUGAGUGGCGGUCGGGGAUGAGCGAUGGUCUUUUCCUACCAAUCUAUCCCCCUAGGAGCAUGCGCGUAGUGCUUUGGUUUUUGAUGACUUCUAAAUUUUUGCAACAAGUAUAUGAGUUCUUUUGACUAAUGUUGAGUCCAUGGAUUAUACGCACCCUUUCACCCUUCCACCAUUGCUAGCCUCUCUUGUGCCGCGCAACUUUCGCCGGUACCAUACACCCACCAUAUACCUUCCUCAAAAUAGCCACCAUAACUACCUAUUAUGGCAUUUCCAUAGCCAUUCCGAGAUAUAUUGCCAGGCAACUUUCCACCGUUUCGUUCAUAUGACACGCAUUACUUUUGUCAUAUUUCUCUUUGCAUGAUCAUGUAGUUGACAUUGUAUUUGUGGCAAGGCCACUUUCAUAAUUUUCAUACAUGUCGCUCUUGAUUCAUUGCAUAUCCUGGUACACCGCCGGAGGCAUUCAUAUAGAGUCAUAUCUUGUUCUAGCUUUGAGUUGUAAUUCUUGAGUUGUAAAUCCAUAAAAGUGUGAUGAUCUUCAUUAUUAGAGCAUUAUCCUAGUGAGGAAAGGAUGAUGAAGACUAUGAUUCCCCCACAAGUCGGGAUGAGACUUCGGACUUUACAAAAAAAAGAGAAAGGCCAAAAAAAGGCCAAAGAAAAAAAAAGAGAAAGAAAAAAAGAAAAAAGAAAAAAAAUGAGAGAAAAAGAGAGAAGGGACAAUGCUACUAUCUCUUUUUCCACACUUGUGCUUAAAAAUAGCACCAUGAUCUUCAUGAUAGAGAGUCUCAUAUGUUGUCACUUUCAUUUACUAGUGGGAAUUUUUCAUUAUAAAACUUGGCUUGUAUAUUCCAAUGAUGGGCUUCCUCAAAAGUGCCCUAGGUCUUCGUGAGCAAGCAAGUUGGAUGCACACCCACUUAGUUUCUUUUGUUGAGCUUUCAUACAUUUAUAACUCUAGUGCAUCCGUUGCAUGGCAAUCCCUACUCACUCACAUUGGUAUCUAUUAAUGGGCAUCUCCAUAGCCCAUUGAUACGCCUAGUUGAUGUGAGACUAUGUUCUGCUUUUUUGUCUUCUCCACAACCACCACUCUACACCACAUAUAGUGCUAUAUCCAUGGCUCACGCUCAUGUAUUGCGUGAAAGUUGAAAGAGUUUGAGAUUAUUGAAGUGUGAAACAAUUGCUUGGCUUGUCAUCGGGGUUGUGCAUGAUUAAAUACUUUGUGUGAUGAAGAUAGAGCAACAGCCAGACUAUAUGAUUUUGUAGGGAUAACUUUCUUUGGCCAUGUUAUUUUGAGAAGACAUGAUUACUUUGAUUAGUAUGCUUGAAGUAUCACCAUUUUCAUGUUAAUAUGAACUUUUAUUUUGUAUCAUUUGGAUCUGAACAUUCAUGCCACAAUAAAGAAAAUUACAUUGAGAAUUAUGCUAGGUAGCAUUCCACAUCAAAAAUUUCUUUUUUAUCAUUUACCUACUCGAGGACGAGCAGGAAUUAAGCUUGGGGAUGCUUGAUACGUCUCCAACGUAUCUAUAAUUUUUGAUUGUUCCAUGCUAUUAUAUUACCCCUUUUGGAUGUUUAUGGGCUUUAUUUUACACAUUUAUAUCAUUUUUGGGACUAACCUACUAACCGGAGGCCCAGCCCGUAUUGCUGUUUUUUGCCUAUUUCAGUAUUUCGAAGAAAAGAAAUAUCAAACGGAGUCCAAAUGGAAUGAAACCUUCGGGAGCAUGAUUUUUGGAAGGAGCGUGAUCCAGAGGACUUGGAGUGCAAGUCAAGAAGCAGCCGAGGCUCCCACGUGAUAGGAGGGCGCGCCCCCCUAUAGGACACGCCCCCCUGUCUCGUGGGCCCCUUGGGCGUCCACCGACGUACUUCUUCCUCCUAUAUAAGUCCACGUACCCCGAAAACAUCCAGGGGCAGAUGAAACACAAUUUCCACCACCGUAACCUUCUUUAUCCGCGAGAUCUCAUCUUGGAGCCUUCGCCGGCACUCUGCCGGAGGGGGAAUCGACCACGGAGGGCUUCUACAUCAACAUCCUUGCCCCUCCGAUGAGUUGUGAGUAGUUUACCACAGACCUACGGGUCCAUAGUUAUUAGCUAGAUGGCUUCUUCUCUCUUUUUGGAUCUCAAUACAAUGUUCUCCCCCUCUCUUGUGGAGAUCUAUUCGAUGUAAACUCUUUUUGCGGUGUGUUUGUUGAGAUCCGAUGAAUUGUGGGUUUAUGAUCAAGUUUAUCUAUGAAUAAUAUUUGAAUCUUCUCUGAAUUCUUUUAUGUAUGAUUGAUUUAUCUUUGCAAGUCUCUUCGAAUUAUCAGUUUGGUUUGGCCUACUAGAUUGAUCUUUCUUGCCAUGGGAGAAGUGCUUAGCUUUGGGUUCAAUCUUGCGGUGUCCUUACCCAGUGACAGAAACGGUUGCAAAGCACAUAUUGUAUUGUUGCCAUCGAGGAUAACAAGAUGGGGUUUAUAUCAUAUUUCUUGAGUUUAUCCCUCUACAUCAUGUCAUCUUGCUUAAUGCGUUACUCUGUUCUUAUGAACUUAUUACUCUAGAUGCAGGCAAGAGUCGGUCGAUGUGUGAAGUAAUAGUAGUAGAUGCAGUCAAGAGUCGGUCUACUUGUUGCGGACGUGAUGCCUAUAUACAUGAUCAUGCUUAGAUAAUCUCAUAAUUAUUCGCUUUUCUUUCAAUUGCUCGACAAUAAUUUGUUCACCCACCGUAAUACUUAUGCUAUCUUGAGAGAAGCCACUAGUGAAACCUAUGGCCCCCGGGUCUAUCUCUUAUCAUAUUUGCUUCCAAUCUACUUUUAUUUGCAUCUUUAAUUUUUGCAUCUAUAUUAUAAAAUACCAAAAAUAUAUCUAUCUUAUCAUACUAUCUUUAUUAGAUCUCACUUUCACAAGUGGCCGUGAAGGGAUUGACAACCCCUUUAUUGCGUUGGUUGCGAGUUUUUUGUUUGUUUGUGUAGGUGUGUGGGACUUUUGAGGAGCCUCUUACUGGACUGAUACCUUGGUUCUCAAAAACUGAGGGAAAUACUUACACUACUAUUGCUGCAUCACCCUCUCCUCUUCGAGGAAAACCAACGCAAGCUCGAGACGUAGCAGGGAUCAUAUUAUAAUGUACCACUGUACUAAGCAAAAUAAGAAGCAUAAAAGAUAAACAUCACAUGUAAUCAAAAUAUGUGACAUGAUAUGGCCACCAUCAUCUUGUGCCUUUGAUCCCCAUCUCCAAAGUACCGUCAUGAUCUCCAUCAUCACUGGCAUGACACCAUGCUCUCCAUCAUCUUGAUCUUUAUCAACGUGUUAUCACAUGGUCAUCUCACCAACUAUUGCUUUUGCAACUAUUGCUAUCGCAUAGCGAUAAAGUAAGGCAAUUAUAUGGCGCUUGCAUCUUAUGCAAUAAAGAGACAACCAUAAGGCUCCUGCUAGUUGCCGAUAACUUUACCAAAACAUGAUCAUCUCAUACAACACAUCAUGUCUUGACCAUAUCAUAUCACAACAUGCCCUGCAAAAACAAGUUAGACGUCCUCUACUUUGUUGUUGCAAGUUUUACGUGGCUGCUAUGGGCUUAGCAAGAACCAUUCUUACCUACGCAUCAAAACCACAACGAUUUUUCGUCAAGUGUGCUGGUUUAACCUUCAACAAGGACCGGGCGUAGCCACACUCGAUUCAACUAAAGUUGGAGAAACAGACACUCACUAGCCACCUGUGUGCGAAGCACGUCGGUAGAAACAGUCUCGCGUAAGCGUACACGUAAUGUCGGUCUGAGCCGCUUCAUCCAACAAUACCGCCAAAUCAAAGUAUGACUUGCUGGUAAGUAGUAUGACUAUUAUCACCCACAACUCUUUGUGUUCUACUCGUGCAUAUAACAUCUACGCAUAGACCUGGCUCGGAUGCCACUGUUGGGAAACGCGGUAAUUUCAAAAAAUUUCCUACGAUCACACAAGAUCUAUCUAGGUGAUGCAUAGCAAUGAGAGGGGAGAGUGUGUCCACAUACCCUCAUAGAUCGAAAGCGGAAGCGUUUCAAUAACGCGGUUGAUGUAGUCGAAUGUCUUCGCGAUCCAACCGAUCCAAGUACCGAAUGUUUGGCACCUCCACGUUCAGCACACGUUCAGCUCGAUGACAUCCCUCACACUCUUGAUCCAGUUGAGGCUGAGGGUGAGGUCCGUUAGCACGACGGCGUGUCGAUGGUGAUGAUGACGCUACUGGCGUAGGGCUUCGCCUAAGCUCCGCAACGGUAUGAUCGAGGUGUGUAACUGUGGAGGGGGGCACCGCACACGGCUAAUAGAUCAACUUGUGUGUCUAUGGGGUACCCCCUGGCCACGUAUAUAAAGGAGGGAAGAGGAGGAGGCCGGCCUAGGAGGGGCGCGCCUAUAAGGGGAGUCCAACUAGGAUUCCCAAUCCUAGUUGGAGUCCCCUUCCUUUUCCAAGAGGGGAGAGAGGGAAGGAGUAGGAGAGGGGGAAGGAAAGAGAGGGGGGCGCCGCCCCCUCCCUAGUCCAAUUCGGACUUGCCAUGGGGGGGGGGUGCGUGGCCAUCCCUUGAGGCCCUUCUCUCCUUUCCUGCAUGGCCCAUUAAGGCCUAAUACUUCCCCCGACGAAUUCUCGUAACUCUCCGGUACUCCGAAAAAUAUCCGAAUCACUCGGAACCUUUCCGAUGUCCGAAUAUAGCCUUCCAAUAUAUCAAUAUUUACGUCUCGACCAUUUUGAGACUCCUCGUCACGUCCGUGAUCUCAUCCAGGACUCCAAACAAACUUCGGUCAUCAAAUCACAUAACUCAUAAUACAAAUCGUCAUCGAAGGUUAAGCGCGCGGACCGUACGGGCUCAAGAACUAUGAAGACAUGACCGAGACACGUCUCCGAUCAAUAACCAAUAGCGGAACCUGGAUGCUCAUAUUGGUUCCUACAUAUUCUUCGAAGAUCUUUCUCGGUCAAACCGCAUAACAACGUACAUUGUUCCCUUUGUCAUCGGUAUGUUACUUGCCCGACAUUCGAUCGUCGGUAUCAUCAUACCUAGUUCAAUCUCGUUACCGGCAAGUCUCUUUAAUCAUUCCGUAAUACUUCAUCCCGCAACUAACUCAUUAAUCACAAUGCUUGCAAGGCUUAUAGUGAUGAGUAUUACCAAGAGGGCCCAGAGAUACCUCUUUGAAACACGGAGUGACAAAUCCUAAUCUCGAUCUAUGCCAACCCAACAAACACCUUUGGAGACACCUGCAGAGCACCUUUAUAAUCACCCAUUUACGUUGUGACGUUUGGUAGCACACAAAGUGUUCCUCUGGUAUUCAGGAGUUGCAUAAUCUCAUAGUCUGAGGAACAUGCAUAAGUCACGAAGAGAGCAAUAGCAAUGAAAUUGUAACAAUCAUAAUGCUAAGCUAACGGAUGGGUCAUGUCCAUCACAUCAUUCUCCUAAUGAUGUGAUCCCAUUCAUAAAAUUAAAACACAUGUCUAUGGUUAGGAAACAUAACCAUCUUUGAUUAAAGAGCUAGUCAAGUAGAGGCAUACUAGGGACACUAUGUUUUGUCUAUGUAUUCACACAUGUACUAAGUUUCUGGUUAAUACAAUUCUAGCAUGAAUAAUAAACAUUUAUCAUGAAAUAAGGAAAUAAAUAAUAACUUUAUUAUUGCCUCUAGGGCAUAUUUCCUUCAAGGCUAGGGUGGAAUCAACAUGUACACUUCAUUUUUGCACCCCCAGCUCAUUUCCUCUCCUUGGAGUUUGUCAUUUCGACGGAAGUGGAGAUUGUGAGGAGAUAGAAGUAGUACCGCUGCCAGAGCGGUAGUAUGGCCCAUGGUCCUCAAGCGGCAGUACCACUAUCCUACAAUGGUAGUACCGCUUGGGUGCAUCAGCGGCAAUACCGUCUUGGUUCAGCACCGCUACCGCCUCGAUUCAAGGAUGUCUCUUCUCGUGUCGGCUUGUGCGGCAGUAGCAAUGGUAGUACCGCGGUCACCAUCGCUACUAGUGCCGCCCAAACCCUCUUUCUCUCUCCCGUUCUCCCUCUUAUGCUUCUGCUCUCAGUCUCUAGGGUAGUACCGCUGGUGGUCGUGGUAGUACCACUCCACUGAGCAGUAGUACCGCUUUGUGUGGGCUGAAGAGGGGGUAACAGUUGGAUUGGUUCCCCCACUAUAAAAGGAGGCUUGUUCACCAAGUUGACUAACCUCUUUUCCCCCAAGCUCCAUUGUUGCUCCAAAGCUCAUUUUUGCCCGAUCUCUCUCCCUAGCCAAUCAAACUUGUUGAUUUUCUAGGGAUUGGUUGAGAAGGCCCAGAUCUACACUUCCACCAAGAGAAAUUUGAUCCCCCCCCCACUAAUCCCUUGCGAAUCUUGUUACUCUGGGGUGUUUGAGCACCCUAGAUGAUUGAGGUCACCUCGGAGCCACAUUCCAUUGUGGUGAAGCUCCGUGGUAUCAUUGGGAGCCUCCAAUCAAGUUGUGGAGAUUGCUCCAACCUUGUUUGUAAAGGUUCGGUCACCGCCUUCAAGGGCACCACUAGUGGAAUCACGACAUCUCGCAUUGUGUGAGGGCAUGAGGAGAAUACGGUGGCCCUAGUGGCUUCUUGGGGAGCAUUGUGCCUCCACACCGCUCCAACGGAGACGUACUUCCCCCAAAGGGAAGGAACUUCGUUAACACACCCUCGUCUCCAACGGCUCCACUUGUGGUUAUCUCUUCCCUUUACUUUGUGCAAGUUUAUAUUGUGUUGUAUAAUUUGCUUGCACUUGUUGUUGUGGUUGUUUGCAUCAUAUAGGUUGUUCACCUAGUUGCACAUCUAGAAAACUUAUUUGUUGCUAAACCUAAUUUGUGAAGAAAAGCUAAAAAUUGGUAGUUGCCUAUUCACCCCCCUCUAGUCAACCAUAUCAAUCCUUUCAAUUGGUAUCAGAGCCUCAUCUCUUUAUGAAGGGUUUCACCACCCUAAGAGUAUGUGGUUGACACCGAGGAGGAAGUUCCCUAGGCCGUGGAGUUUACUUCGAUCACUCGAGAUGACUUAAAUGAAGCUAUGGCUUCACUUAAGACGUCUAUGACGACCAAAGUCAAGUCCAUGCUUAAAUAAUUACUUGAGGGGAUGAAAUCCACUCCUGGUCUCGUGCUUGUGGUUAAUCCCACAUCAUCAGAGUCGGAGGCCAAUUCGACCAAGGAAGCGGCUAAAGGUACUCAUGUUCCUUCCCCUCAUGACAAGAAUGGGAUGGGAACCUUUGCCUCGGUUCCCCCUCCCCCGGUCUAUGGAGGACCGGCCCCUACCACUCGCAUUAAUAUUCAUGGCCCUCCUCCCAAGCUUGUUAAGGGUGAUUUUGCUAAUUGGAUCUUUCACAUUAAUUCUCAUUUGAAUCAUUGCUCAACUAACCUUUGGAGAAUUAUUGACCAUGGUUUCUACCCUCACGAUCCAAACAACUUCACCUCAAGAGAAGAAGUGGACAAUCAAUACAAUCACUCCGCAUUGUUCAUCCUUCAAGAAGCGGUCCCUCCCAAAGACCUAGCACAUCUAUGCCCGUUCACUCGUGCAAAGGAUUGUCGGUAGCACAUUGUUUCAAUGUACAACGGGAGCUCAAGCAUUCAACGGUCCAACUUUGAAGUGGUCCUUGAUGAGGCCGAUGAAUUUGUGAUGCUUGAAGAUGAGGAUCCGCAUGAUCUUUACUGGAGGGUGACUACUCUUGCGGUUGCUCUCCAAGACCAUGGAAGCAAGGAUAUGGAUGACACUUGGAUCAAGUGCAAGUUCCUCAAGGCCAUCAUGCCCUUCAACAAGGCCAUGUCUUUCGUGAUUCUUCAAAGGCCGAACUUUCACUUCUUAACCUCAAGUGAAGUGUUGGAUGAGUUUAUUACCAUGAACAUCAUGAACAAGACCGCCGACAAUGCUCUUGCUUGUGUCCGGUCAAAGAAAAGCAAUACAUCCCUUUCUUUGAAGGCCAAGGCAAUCUCGGAAGAAGAAGAGGAGGAAGAAGAAGAGUGUGGCCCCGAGGACACCAAGUAUGCUUACCAUGAGCACAUGGCUCUUGCGUCAAGUCAAUUUUGGAGCAACAAGAGGAACUCAAGACCCAACUUCACCAAGAACAACUCAAGUGGGUCAAAGAGCAAGCAACGUGUAAGAACUUGUUACAAUUGUGGUAAUCUGAGUCACUUUGCGGUGGAUUGCCCUUAUGAGAAGAGGAAGGCAAUGGUGGCAAACUCAUUCGGAAGGAUAAAACCAAGUCUUUCCCUAGCAAGAACAACUUCACUAAGAAGCCUCCUCCAAAGGGCUUGGUGGCACUAGAAGAGUAUGCCUCCGAUGAUGAUGAGGAAGAUACAAGUGGAUAAGGAAUGGCAAUGGCAACCAUUGCUAUUGCUAUAUCUUCCCCCCUCCAAGGUGUCUCUCUUCGGCGCCCCCAAGGAAACCACCAUUGCCAAGUGUCUCAUGGCCAAAGGUAUCAACAAGGUAACUCCUAACAUCAAAAGCACCAUCAUUACUACUCCUUUGUUGUUAGAUUGUGUUGAUGAUAGUGAGGUGGAUAAAGUUGAUGAGAAUGAGUUCACCAAGUUUGUGAGCAAGCUCAAGGGUGAUUCCAAGAAGCACUUUGUUGCUCUCUUGGAACAACUUGGUGAGGCUAAUGAUAUCAUUGAGUCUCAUGAGGAUACUAUCUCCAAGUUGGAGGAGCAUAGUCAUGACUAUGCCGAUGAAAUUGCGGAUCUUUCCAUUGCUCUAAAGGAAGAGAAAGAUCUUCGUUUGACUCUUGAGGAGUCACACAACGUUGGUCAUGCUAAAUUGCAAAAAGAUCUUGAUUAUGCUAUUGUUCUUACUCGUGUGCUUAAAUCCGAGAAAGCCAAACUGGGGGUUGGCCAUGCUAGACUCAAGUAAGAGUUUGAUACACUUGACAAGGCUCACAAGGUCUUGAAGGGUGUUCAUGACUCUCUCAAAGAGUCUCAUGAUCAACUCCAAGUUAAGCUAACCAAGGAGAUUUCCACUUGUCCUCCUUUUGUUCUAAUUGAUAAUGUUCAUGCUACUAACCCUUGUUGUGAGCAUGUGCACCUUGUGUAGGAAAAUGCUAAGUUGAAAGAGCAAUUUGAGAAAGGCCUUGUGUCUUGCAUACAAGGUGAAAAGAAUCUUAAUGACCUUUUGAGCAAUCAAAAGGAAGUUGUAGGAAAAGAAGGAUUGGGUUUUACAACCAAGUCAAAGAAGAAGAAGAAGAAGAACAACACCAAACAACCUCCUCUGAUCAAGAAGACAUUUGUCAAGGCGGGUGAGGGUACUCAUGAGAAGAAGAAUAACAAGGAAGUGUAUAGUGGAACCAAGAAGGGUAAAACAACUCCUACCAACAAAGCCGACGACUUUAACCCCUCUUAUGUUUUAUGCCGUGCUCAUGAUGGACAUGUCUAUGCUAAAUUUGUUGGUUCUUAUUAUGAGUAAAUUGAAUGGUCUAUUUGGGUUCCUAAGACCCUUGUCACUAACCUCAAAGGACCCAUUCAAGAAUGCCAAGCAUUGAUCUCUUGUAGGAGUUUGCUUCUGGUGGAGUGUCAUGGUUGCUUGAUAGUGGAGCAACAAAUCAUUUGACCAGGAGCAAGGACUUGGUGGUGGAUGUGCAUCCAAUUCCAUCUAUGCCCACCCAUGUCCAAUUUGGUGAUGCCUCAGCUUCUAAGGUAUUGGGACUUGGCAAGGUGGUCAUCUCUCAAGAUUUAACUAUUGAGAAAGUCAUGCUUGUUGAGUCCCUUGCAUACAAUUUACUUUCCGUUCGUCAACUUGCACUUAUGGGCUUUGCAACAUUCUUUGAUCUUGAUACCGUGGCCCUUUUGUGGAGCAAGACUCUUAAAGUAGCAUUUGUUGGGCAUGUCGAGAACAGUCUCUAUGUGGUGAACUUUUUGGAGCGUCCCACUAAGAUAGCGACUUGCCUAAUGGCUAAAGUUGAUGUGGGUUGGCUUUGGCAUCACCGACUAGCCCAUGUCCAUAUGAGAUCUUUGCAAAGUCUCCUCAAAAGGGAUCACGUCCGUGGACUAACAAAUGUGAGUUUUGCCAAAGACCAUGCUUGCAGUGCUUGUUUUGAAGGAAAGCUUCAUGAAACGGCUCACCAUCCCACAACUAUCAUCUAUUCAAAGAGGCCCUUGGAGAUCCUUCACAUGGAUCUCUUUGGACCUCCAUCCUUUGAUAGUCUUGGUGGAAGAAAGUAUUGCUUGGUGAUUGUAGAUGACUAUUCAAGAUAUACAUGGGUAUACUUCUUCAAGAGGAAGAGUGGGACUCAACAAACCGUCAUCAACUUUGCAAAUGAAGCUCAAUGUCAACACAAUGCAAAGAUCUUGAUGAUUAGAAGCAACAGCACCGAGUUCAAGAACUACACCUUGGAUGAGUUUCUUAUUGACGAGGGGAUCAAGCACCAAUAUGCCGCACCCUAUACCCCUCAACAAAAUGGUGUGGCAGAGAGGAAGAACCGGACAUUGAUGGAUGCGGCAAGGACCAUGAUGGCGGAAUUCAAGUCUCCGUACAACUUUUGGGCCGAAGCCAUCAACACCGCAUGCCAUGCAUCCAGUAGGCUCUACCUCCGCAAAGGCUUGAACAAGAAUCCAUAAGAGAUACUUACCGGCAAAAGCCCAAUCUCAAGUACUUCCGGGUGUUCGGUUGUAAGUGUUUCAUUCUCAAUAAAGGUGUUCGUUUGUCUAAAUUCAAACCUAGAGCUCAAGAGGGCAUAUUUGUUGGUUAUGCUACAAACUCUCAUGCUUACCGUGUCCUCAACAAGUCCACCAGACUGAUUGAGGAGACGUGUAAUAUAGAGUUUGAUGAUAAUAAUGGCUCCCAAGUGGAGCAAAGUGGUCUUUGUGAUGUAGGUGAUGAAAUUCCUCCUCAAGCCAUAAGAAGAAUGGGGAUUGGUCAAAUACUUCCAAUUGAGGAACCUCUUGUGGCCGAAGGAGAAGGACAAUGCUCUAAUCAAGUGGAGCCAUUACCUAUACUAGGCCCACACGCUUCCAAAGAACAAAAUGAAGGCCCUAAACCUAAUGAACAAGAUCAUGGGCAAGAUCAACCCCAUGGAGGGGGUGAUGUGCCAAAUAAUUCCCAAGAUCAAGUUCAUGCCUCCGAGCGCGUUCAAGGUCAAGAGCAAGCUCAAGAUGUGCAAGAUCAAGAGCCAACUCAAGGUCAAGAGCAAGCUCAAGACGGUGCUCAAGAUCAAGAGCAAGCUCAAGAUCAAGAGCAAACCCAAGACGGUGAUCAAGAUGUGCAAGAUAAUCCUCAAAUGCCCAUUGAGGAACUUUUGGAGCGCCGUGCCGCUAAACUGGCUUCCAAGAUAAAGCAUCAACAACAUGCCAUGGAGAAUGUGCUUGGAAGCUUGAGAAAAGGGGUAACUACUCGCAAACAGUCGUCAAACUUAUGUGAGCAUCACGCGUUUGUUUUGUGUGUUGAACCCCAAAAGGUACAUGAGGCUGUUGAUGAUGAGGAUUGGCUUGAAGCAAUGCAUGAUGAACUCAAUGACUUUGAGCGCAAUGAAGUUUGGGAUUUAGUACCAAGGCCAUCGGAGGAACAUAAUGUUAUUGGAACCAAAUGGGUCUUCAAGAACAAGCAAGAUGCAAAUGGUGUGGUUGUUCGAAACAAGGCAAGGUUGGUGUCACAAGGCUACUCCCAAGUCGAGGGUAUUGACUACGGUGAAACCUUUGCCCCCGUUGCUCGUCUUCAAUCCAUUUGCAUGUUGAUUGCUUAUGCUUCUCAUCAUGACUUUAAAUUGCAACAAAUGGAUGUGAAAAGUGCAUUUUUAAUGGUCCUUUGAAUGAGUUGGUAUAUGUCAAACAACCUCCAAGAUUCGAGGAACCCAAAUUCCCCACUCAUGUAUACAGACUCAAAAAGGCGCUCUAUAGCCUUAAGCAAGCCCCACGUGCGUGGUAUGAGCACCUUACCGAGUUGUUGCAAGAUCAUGGGUUUGAAAUUGGGAAAAUUGACCCCACUCUUUUUACUAAGAGGGUCAAAGGGGAUUUGUUCAUAUGCCAACUAUAUGUUGAUGAUAUUAUCUUUGGUUCUCCUAACAAAUCUUUCAAUGAUGAUUUUGCCGCACUAAUGACUGAGAAGUUUAAGAUGUCUAUGAUGGGAGAGUUAAAGUUCUUUCUCGGGUUCGAAAUCAAGCGAAGAAGAGAAGGAACUUUCAUCAACCAAGCCAAGUACACACAAGACAUGCUCAAGAAAUUGAAGCUAGAUGAUGUCAAACUGGUCAAGUUUCCAAUGCCCACCAAAUGCAAGCUUGACAGUGAUCCAAAUGGUAAAGCGGUGGAUCAAAAGGUAUAUCGUUCCAUGAUUGGAUCCUUGCUUUACCUUUGUGCAUCUAGACCGGAUAUCAUGUUGAGUGUGGGAAUUUGUGCACGGUUUCAAGCCGUACCUAAGGAAAGCCACUAUGUGGCGGUCAAGCGAAUCUUUCGAUAUUUGGAUAAUACCCCAAACUUUGGCUUAUGGUACCCCAAAGGAGCAAGCUUUGAUCUCAUUGGUUACUCAAAUUCGGAUUGGGCGAGAGAUUGUGUGGAUAGGAAGUCAACUUCCAGAGGGUGCCAAUUCCUUGGUCGCUCUUUGGUGAGUUGCUCUUCAAAGAAGAAAAAUUGUAUAUCUCUCUCAUCCACCGAGGCUGAGUAUGUAGCCGCCGCAAGUUGUUGUGCACAAUUGCUAUGGAUGAGGCAAACUUUAAAGGAUUACGGUGUCACUUAUGACAAAGUGCCUCUUCUAUGUGACAAUGAAAGUGCAAUCAAGAUUUCUCACAAUCCGGUGCAACAUAGCAAGACGAAGCAUAUUGAGAUUCACCACCAUUUUAUUCGAGAUCACAUCAAGCAUGGAUAUUGAUAUCAUCUACAUAAACACUCAAGAGCAAUUAGCGAAUAUUUUCACGAAGCCUCUAGAUGAAGCAAGAUUCUCGAGUUAAGGCAUGAGCUAAAUAUCAUUGAUUCGAGCAAUGUGGCUUGAAUCUAGGCACACCCCACCAGACUCAUCAUUAUAUCUUGUUUUAGAUGUAGGCAUGGACAUAGGGGGAGUAUUGUUCUCUCAAUGAACUCUUCCGCCCCCAUUACGCAUAAAUUGAUCACGUCUUUCACGUUAGCCCUUUUUAUGGUAAUUGUGAUUCAAAGAUGAGUUUUGGUCAUGGGCCCAAGGUUAAAAUCUUCGCGGUACCAUACCACUUGACUCAAACAUAGGUGGCCUCGGCCACCACCCUCUCUUUGAGAGUUGUGUGGUUUUUGUUUCUUGUCCUCUCAUGGGCAUUUUUCUGCCUUUGAGUUUGCUCCCUCACCUCUUCGUGUGUUCUCCUUGCUUGAGCUAAGCCUGUUUUCUAUCUAGUCUUUGAGUUGUUGACUGGGUGGUACUACCGCUGGGGGCGCACGGUACUACUGCUGAUGGACAUCAAGAGGUACUAUCGCCCGCCCGAGCGGUACUACCGCUGCGAGGUGGGACUGGGGGGUUAUGUUGGGGCAGGGGGAGUUUCUUUCUCCCCCAUACCAUUCACUUGACCCUCUCAUCUUGUUCAUGCGCCAGCAACGAACUCACCGUAGGAGGGCGCCGGUGGGCCGCCUACUCCGGGCCGUCUUUCACCUUUUCCUCCGGUGGGAUCAAUCCCCACCCCUUCCUCCAGCCAUGGAUGCUGGUAUUGCCCCCGAUAUCCUGCUCUUUGCUUCUAGGUUUCAGAUCUAGUCUUUAGGGGCAAUAGGCUUUGCAUUCAUCGAUUUUUGGCCAAAUCGAGGUUUGAGUAGGAUGGUGAAGGCUACUAGACUGUUUGGAUUGAUGUUUGGUAGGUUUAUUUUUGAAUUUGGCAUCCCAGCAGUAUCGGAUUUGGCCGCGGCAGUAGGAAAACCGCCGUUCCCUGCCUGGAGCGGUACUACCAUUCCCCUGGAGCGGUACUACCGCUUCCAGAGCGCGGUACUACCGUUGGAUGUCAACUUCCACCAUACUCGUACCAAAUGUUGGUCCUUGUUACUUCAUUUUCUGGUGGCUUAUGCUCAUUCUCUCAUGUUGUUUCUUGUGUUCGUGUGUUUGGUUCCAGGUGAUGGCCCUUCAGAGCAACCUGUCUGUCGUGUCAACCCUGGGUGUACUAGUUCAAAGUGCUAUCGUACUUUUGAGUCAGGGGCUGCUUCCUCAAGUGUUCCUCCUCCUCAGCCCAGGAAGACUGUUGCAAACAAGCCCAAGCCUAGGGCCAAGUCUGUGACAGAGAUGACUGCAAAGGAGUUCUAGGAAAGGCACCGGCGCAACCCAUGCAGAAGAUCAAGAACCCACUUUGAUCAACCGCCCGUUCUGGAACCAUUUUCAGUGGGCAAUCUAUUUUGAUGUGAUCAAAGAAAAGAAGAAUCUCUAUGUUGAUGUCCGCUCCAUCGACAUUGCCUAUAUGGAGAAGGAUCCUACCUACUUUCGCGAAGCUCUGCAGAUGUGUACUCAGCUGAAUAUUCUCAGGAUCAUGGAGUUCAACAAGGACCUUGAUGCGGAUUUGGUGGCUCAAUUUUAUGCCACGGUUCAUCUGUGCACUGAUGCGGAAAGGACCUUGACUUGGAUGACUAAUGGCAAAUUUCUGUCUGUCAAAUGGAAGGCAUUCAUGGAAUUGUUUGGGAUUGAAGAUCAAGGGCUUGAGCACCCGGUUGGCUUUCGUCCUCACCGGAAGACAACUUCUACUCACAAGCAAGCUCUUUGGUUGUUCUACACUGUGAAUAUUAACCCCGAGACACAAAGGAGACGUAUGAGCUGCCUGCCUACCUGGACAUCCUUCAUCGCAUCUUCAGGGGACUCUUUUCCCACGCAUUGGGAACUUGGAUAUGGUUCACUCAUUUCUUGUGGACAUGUUACUUUUCUGUCAGCAUGAGAAGGAAGAAAACACUGGAGAUUCCUUGGAUAUCUCUCAUGUCAUGUGGUCUGAGCUUCUCUCCGCUAUCUCCGAGCGCAAGUGCCCGAUCUAUGGUCCUUUUCUCAUGUUGCUUAUUGAGAAGGCUUGGGAGCACACUUAUCCUGGUGUCGUGCUGGAGACUAGCAAGUUGAUCCCUCAUGAGAUGAAGCGUCUGAGGAAGAAGGAGAACUAGGGCACUUCGGUUCCGAAGUCUGGGAUCCCGUUAGGAGCUGACAAGGCUGAGGCAGAGGCUGAUGCUGACAUUGAUGAGGACUAUGUGCCCUCUAGAGCGGAUCCCUCAUGGGCAAAGAAGCUCAAGUGCAAGAUUAAGAAACUUUUCUACAUGGAGUCUCAUGGUCAGUAUAUGGCUCAUGUGUCUGAGAAGAAGGCUAGGAGUCGCCACAAGGAGCUCAUGCAUCAGUUUGGUGCGACAGUUGCCAGCGGUUCUGAGGGCAAGAUCACCAAUGAGGAGUGGGUUCAGCAGCACUGCCCUUCGUCAGACUUAGACACUGAGCAGACCCUGCCGAUGGCGGAGGAGUGGACGAUCACACAUGGAUGUGAUGAUGGAGAUCGUCAGUUGUGUUAUCACCUAUGGCCGUAGCAACACUCUUUGCCCUUUUGGUGUCUCGAUGCCAAAGGGGAAGAGAGUUUAGGGAUUUGUCGAGUUGCGAGUGUGUCUUUUUUUUCCUUGUAUUUCUCUCUCGCAAACUCUUUUCUCGUCUUUUGCUUUGGUUUGGUUUGUGCUUGUGAGACCUAGUACCCUAUCAUAUGGUGUGAGACAUAUGCUACCCUAUCCUAUUAUUAUCUUUUUAUGUCGAGUACUUUAGUAGUUUGUGAGUUCAUGCUUAUCUCAUAUGUCUACUUUGCUCACUUGCUACUCUAUUGCAUCCUAGCUCAUAUAUGUCUCACCUUUUAUGCAAAUGUUGUCAGACUAUAAAAUAUAGUGGGAGUGUUGAUCCUAGUGUGUGUACUUUGCAAUCCAAAGGCACCUCUAAUUAAGUGCACACAUCUAGGGGGAGCCCUUCUAUAUUUUGUAGUCUCUGGGAUUUGCUUAUUCUCAUGUCAUUCCUUGUUGCAAAUCCCGUGUUUUUAUCAAUCCACCAAAAAGGGGGAGAUUGUUAGGGCAUGUCUCUCUCUAAGUAGUUUUGGUGAUUGAUGACAACGCAUUUGUAGACUAAUCAUCUGUGUUGAGUUUUUUAGAGAUUCAUUCUUUGGCAUGGGACGAUUCUUUCCCCUCGGAGCCUUAAGUGAAGACGGUGUAGUCUCUUUCGUUUUGGUUUUGGUGGACUUGAGUCAUAGGAGACACCGUACUAUUAAGGGGGGUUCCACAAUGGAAAGGCCAGGGUGGAAUCAACACGUACACUUCAUUUUUGCACCCCAGCUCCUUUCCUCUCCUUGGAGUUUGUAAUUUCGACGGAAGUGGAGAUUGUGAGGAGAUAGCGGUAGUACCACCGCCAGAGUGGUAGUACGGCCCAUGGUCCUAAAGCGGCAGUACCGCUGUCCUACAGCAGUAGCACCGCCUGGGUGCAUCAGCGGCAGUACCGUCCUGGUUUGGCACCGCUACCGCCUCCAUUCAAGGAUAUCUCUUCUUGUGUUGAGCUGUGUGGCAGUAGUAUCGGCAGUAGCAGCGGUAGUACCACCCUGAGUAGUAGUACCGCGGCCACCACCGCUACUAGUGCCACCCAAACCCUCUUUCUCUUUCACAUUCUCCCUCUUAUGCCUCUGCUCUCAGUCUCCAUGGUAGUACCGCUGGUGGUCACGGUAGUACCACAGCUACCAGCAGUAGUACCGCUCCACUGAGCAGUAGUACUGCUCUGUGCGGGCUGAAGAGGGGGUAACGGUUGGAUUGGUUCCCCCACUAUAAAAGGAGAUCUUCUUCUCCAAGUUGACUAACCUCUUUUCCCCCAAGCUCCAUUGUUGCUCCAAAGCUCAUUUUUCCCGAUCUCUCUCCCUAGCCAAUCAAACUUGUUGAUUUUCUAGGGAUUGGUUGAGAAGGCUGCUACGUCUUGAGCUUGCGCUGGUUUUCCUUGAAGAGGAAAGGGUGAUGCAGCAAUAGUAGCGUAAGUAUUUCCCUCAGUUUUUGAGAACCAAGGUAUCAAUCCAGUAGGAGGCUCCUCAAAAGUCCCACACACCUACACAAACAAACAAAGAACUCGCAACCAACGCAAUAAAGGGGUUAUCAAUCCCUUCACGGCCACUUGCAAAAGUGAGAUCUAAUAGAGAUAGUAUGAUAAGAUAAAAUAUAUUUUUGGUAUUUUAUAAUAUAGAUGCAAAAGGUAAAGAUGCAAAUAAAAGUAGAUUGGAAGCAAAUAUGAUAAGAGAUAGACCCGGAGGCCAUAGGUUUCACUAGUGGCUUCUCUCAAGAUAGCAUAAGUAUUACGGUGGAGAACGAAUUACUGUCGAGCAAUUGAUAGAAAAGCGAAUAGUUAUGAGAUUAUCUAGGCAUGAUCAUGUAUAUAGGCAUCACGUCCGUGACAAGUAGACCGACUCCUACCUGCAUCUACUACUAUUACUCCACACAUCGACCGACUCCUGCCUGCAUCUAGAGUAUUAAGUUCAUAAGAACAGAGUAACGCCUUAAGCAAGAUGACAUGAUGUAGAGGGAUAAACUCAAGCAAUAUGAUAUAAACCCCAUAUUUUUAUCCUCGAUGGCAACAAUACAAUACAUGCCUUGCUGCCCCUGCUGUCACUGGGAAAGGACACCGCAAGAUUGAACCCAAAGCUAAGCACUUCUCCCAUGGCAAGAAAGAUCAAUCUAGUGGGCCAAACCAAACUGAUAAUUCGAAGAGACUUGCAAAGAUAACUCAAUCAUACAUAAAAGAAUUCAGAGAAGAUUCACAUAUUAUUCAUAGAUAAACUUGAUCAUAAACCCACAAUUCAUCGAAUCUCGACAAACACACCGCAAAAAGAGUUUACAUCGAAUAGAUCUCCACAAGAGAGGGGGAGAACAUUGUAUUGAGAUCCAAAAAGAGAGAAGAAGCCAUCUAGCUAAUAACUAUGGACCCGUAAGUCUGUGGUAAACUACUCACAACUCAUCGGAGGGGCUAUGGUUUUGAUGUAGAAUCCCUCCAUGGUCGAUUCCCCCUCCGGCGGAGUGCCGACGAAGGCUCCAAGAUGGGAUCUCGCGGAUACAGAAGGUUACGGUGGUGGAAAUUGUUUUUAGUUGGCUCCUUGGAUGUUUUCGGGGUACAUAGGCUUAUAUAGGAGGAAGAAGUACGUCGGUGGCCGCCCGAGGGGCCCACGAGACGCGGGGCGCGCCCUAUAGGGGGGGGGCUCCUAUCUCGUGGAGGCCUCGGCUGCUUCUUAACUUGCACUCCAAGUCCUCUGGAUCAUGUUCGUUCCAAAAAUCACGCUCUCGAAGUUUUCAUUCCGUUUGGACUCCGUUUGAUAUUCCUUUUCUUUGAAAUACUGAAAUAGGCAAAAAAAACAGCAAUACGGGCUGGGCCUCCGGUUAGUAGGUUAGUCCCAAAAAUGAUAUAAAUGUGUAAAAUAAAGCCCAUAAACAUCCAAAAGGGGUAAUAUAAUAGCAUGGAAUAAUAAAAAAAUUAUAGAUACGUUGGAGACGUAUCAAGCAUCCCCAAGCUUAAUUCCUGCUCAUCCUUGAGUAGGUAAAUGAUAAAAAGAGAAUUUUUGAUGUGGAAUGCUACCUAGCAUAAUUCUCAAUGUAAUUUUCUUUAUUGUGGCAUGAAUGUUCAGAUCCAAAUGAUUCAAAAUAAAAGUUCAUAUUGAUAAAAUAAAUAGUAACACUUCAAGCAUACUAAUCAAGGUAAUCAUGUUUUCUCAAAAUAACAUGGCAAAAGAAAGUUCAUCCCUACAAAAUGAUAUAGUUAGGCUAUGCUUCAUUUUCGUCACACAAAGAUGUUCCCAAAUUCUAUACCCCCGAUGACAAGCCAAGCAAUUGUUUCAUACUUAAAUAAUCUCAAACUUUUUCAACCUUCACGCAAUACAUGAGCGUGAGCCAUGGAUAUAGCACUAUGGGUGGAAUAGAAUAUGAUGAUGGGGAUUGUGUGGAGAAGACAAAAAGGGAGAAAGUCUCACAUUGACGAGGAUAAUCAACGGGCUAUGGAGAUGCCCAUCAAUUGAUGUCAACAUGAGGAGUAGGGAUUGAAGGAAAUAUGCCCUAGAGGCAAUAAUAAAGUUAUUAUUUAUUUCCUCAUAUCAUGAUAAAUGUUUAUUAUUCAUGCUAGAAUUGUAUUAACCGGAAACAUGAUACAUGUGUGAAUACAUAGACAAACUUAAUGUCACUAGUAUGCCUCUACUUGACUAGCUCAUUAAUCAAAGAUGGUUAUGUUUUCUAACCAUAGACAUGUGUUGUCAUUUGAUUAAUGGGAUCACAUCAUUAGGAGAAUGAUGUGAUUGACUUGACCCAUUCCGUUAGCUUAGCACUUGAUCGUUUAGUAUGUUGCUAUUGCUUUCUUCAUGACUUAUACAAGUUCCUACAACUAUGAGAUUAUGCAACUCCCGUUUACCGGAGGAACACUUUGUGUGCUACCAAACAUCACAAUGUAACUGCGUGAUUAUAAAGGAGCUCUACAGGUGUCUCCAAAGGUACAUGUUGAGUUGGCGUAUUUCGAGAUUAGGUUUUGUCACUCCGAUUGUCGGAGAGGUAUCUCUGGGCCCUCUCGGUAAUGCACAUCACUAUAAGCCUUGCAAGCAAUGUAGCUAAAGAGUUAGUUACAGAAUGAUGCAUUACGUAAUGAGUAAAGAGACUUGUUGGUAACGAGAUUGAACUAGGUAUUAGGAUACCGAUGAUCGAAUCUCGGGCAAGUAACAUACCGAUGACAAAGGGAACAAUGUAUGUUGUUAUGCGGUUUGACCGAUAAAGAUCUUCGUAGAAUAUGUAGGAGCCAAUAUGAGCAUCCAGGUUCCGCUAUUGGUUAUUGACCGAAAACGGUUCUCGGUCAUGUCUACAUAGUUCUCGAACCUGUAGGGUCCGCACGCUUAAGGUUUCGAUGACAGUUAUAUUAUGAGUUUAUGAGUUUUGAUGUACCGAAGUUUGUUCGGAGUCCCGAAUGUGAUUACUGACAUGACGAGGAGUCUCAAAAUGGUCGAGACAUGAAGAUUGAUAUAUUGGAAGCCUAUAUUUGGAUGUCGAAAGUGUUCCGAGUGAAAUCGGGAUUUUACCGGAGUACCGGGAGGUUACCAGAACCCCCCGGGAGCUUAAUGGACCUACAUGGGCCUUAGUGGAAAUAGAGGGCAGCAAGGGGAGUGUGGGGCGCGCCCCCCAAGGCCCAAACCGAAUUGGUUUAGGGCAAGGGGGGCUGGCCCCCCUCUUUCAUUCUCCUCCUCUCCCUUUCCUUCCCCUCUCCUAGUCCAACAAGGAAGGAGGGAGUCCUACUCCCGGUGGGAGUAGGACUCCCCACGGCGUGCCCCCUCCUCGGCCGGCCGCCCCCUCCCCCCUUGCUCCUUUAUAUACGGGGGCAGGGGGCACGUCUAAGACACAACAAUUGAUCACUUGAUCUCUUAGCUGUGUGCUGUGCCCCCCUCCACCAUAGUCCUCCUCGAUAAUAUUGUAGCGGUGCUUAGGCGAAGCCCUGCGACGGUAGAACAUCAAGAUCGUCACCACGCCAUCAUGCUGACGGAACUCUUCCCCGACAUUCUGUUGGAUCGGAGUACGGGGAACGUCAUCGAGCUGAACGUGUGCUAGAACUCGGAGGUGCCGUAGUUUCGGUGCUUGAUCGGUCGGGCCGUGAAGACGUACGACUACAUCAACCGUGUUGUUCUAAUGCUUCCACUUUCGGUCUACGAGGGUACAUGGAUAACACUCUCCCAUCUCGUUGCUAUGCAUCACCAUGAUCUUGCGUGUGCGUAGGAAUUUUUUUGAAAUUACUACGUUCCCCAACAGUGGCAUCCGAGCCAGGUUUUAUGCGUAGAUGUUAUAUGCACGGGUAGAAAACAAGUGAGUUGUGGGCGAUACAAGUCAUACUGCUUACCAGCAUGUCAUACUUUGGUUCAGCGGUAUUGUUGGAUGAAGCGGCCCGGACCGACAUUACGCGUACGCUUACGCGAGACUGGUUCUACCGACGUGCUUUGCACACAGGUGGCUGGCGGGUGUCUAUUUCUCCAACUUUAUUUGAACCAAGUGUGGCUACACCCGGUCCUUGCGAAGGUUAAAACAACACUAACUUGACGAACUAUCGUUGUGGUUUGAUGCAUAGGUAAGAACCGUUCUUGCUCAGCCCGUAGCAGCCACGUAAAAUUUGCAACAACAAAGUAGAGGACGUCUAACUUGUUUUUGCAGGGCAUGUUGUGAUGUGAUAUGGUCAAGACGUGAUACUAUAUUUUAUUGUAUGAGAUGAUCAUGUUUUGUAACCGAAGUUAUCGGCAACUAGCAGGAGCCAUAUGGUUGUCGCUUUAUUGUAUGAAAUGCAAACGCCCUGUAAUUGCUUUACUUUAUCACUAAGCGGUAGCGAUAGUCGUAGAAGCAAUAGAUGGCGUAAACGACAACGAUGCUAUGAUGGAGAUCAAGGUGUCGCAGCAGUAACGAUGGUGAUCACGACGGUGCUUCGGAGAUGGAGAUCACAAGCACAAGAUGAUGAUGGCCAUAUCAUAUCACUUAUAUUGAUUACAUGUGAUGUUUAUCCUUUAUGCAUCUUAUCUUGCUUUGAUUGACGGUAGAAUUUUAAGAUGAUCUCUCACUAAUUAUCAAGAAGUGUUCUCCCUGAGUAUGCACCAUUGCGAAAGUUCUUCGUGCUGAGACACCACGUGAUGAUCGGGUGUGAUAGGCUCUAUGUUCAAAUACAACGGGUGCAAAACAGUUGCACACGCAGAAUACUCAGGUUAAACUUGUCGAGCCUAGCAUAUACAGAUAAGGCCUCGGAACACGGAGACCGAAAGGUCGAACAUGAAUCAUAUAGUAGAUAUGAUCAACGUAGUGAUGUUCACCAUUGAAAACUAUUCCAUCUCAUGUGAUGAUCAGACAUGGUUUAGUUGAUUUGGAUCAUGUGAUUACUUAGAUGACUAGAGAGAUGUCUGUCUAAGUGGGGGUUCUUUAGUAAUAUGAUUAAUUGAACUUAAAUUUAUCAUGAACUUAGUACCUGAUAGUAUUUUGCUUGUCUAUGUUUGUUGUAGAUAGAUGGCUCGUGUUGUUGUUCCGUUCAAUUUUAACGCGUUCCUUGAGAAAGCUAAGUUGAAAGAUGAUGGUAGCAAUUACACAGGCUGGGUCCGUAACUAGAGGAUUAUCCUCAUUGCAGCACAGAAGAAUUACGUCCUGGAAGCACCGCUGGGUGCCAGGCCUACUGCAGAUGCAACUGACAAUGUUAAGAACGUCUGGCAGAGCAAAGCUGAUGACUACUCAAUAGUUCAGCGUGCCAUGCUUUACGGCUUAGAACCAGGACUUCAACGACGUUUUGAACAUCAUGGAGCAUAUGAGAUGUUCCGGGAGUUGAAGUUAAUAUUUCAAGCAAAUGCCCGGAUUGAGAGAUAUGAAGUCUCCAAUAAGUUCUAUAGCUGUAAGAUGGAGGAGAAUAGUUCUGUCAGUGAACAUAUACUCAAAAUGUCUGGGUAUAAUAAUCACUUGAUUCAAUUGGGAGUUAAUCUUCCUAAUGGUAGUGUCAUUGAAAGAAUUCUUCAAUCACUGCCACCAAGCUACAAGAGCUUCAUGAUGAACUAUAAUAUGCAAGGGAUGGACAAGACUAUUCCCGAGCUCUUCGCAAUGCUAAAGGCUGCGGAGGUAGAAAUCAAGAAGGAGCAUCAAGUGUUGAUGGUCAAUAAGACCACCAGUUUCAAGAAAAAGGGUAAAGGGAAGAAGAAGGGGAACUUCAAAAAGAACAGCAAGCAAGUUACUGCUCAAGAGAAGAAACCCAAAUCUGGACCUAAGCCUGAGACUGAGUGCUUCUACUGCAAGCAGACUGGACACUGGAAGCGGAACUGCCCCAAGUAUUUGGCGGAUAAGAAGGAUGGCAAGGUGAACAAAGAUAUAUGUGAUAUACAUGUUAUUGAUGUGUACCUUACUAAUGCUCGCAGUAGCACCUGGGUAUUUGAUACUGGUUCUGUUGCUAAUAUUUGCAACUCGAAACAGAGACUACGGAUUAAGCGAAGAUUGGCUAAGGACAAGGUGAUGAUGCGCGUGGGAAAUGGUUCCAUAGUCGAUGUGAUCGCGGUCGGCACGCUACCUCUACAUCUACCAUCGGGAUUAGUUUUAGACCUGAAUAAUUGUUAUUUGGUGCCAGCGUUGAGCAUGAACAUUAUAUCUGGAUCUUGUUUGAUGCAAGACGGUUAUUCAUUUAAAUCAGAGAAUAAUGGUUGUUCUAUUUAUAUGAGUAAUAUCUUUUAUGGUCAUGCACCCUUGAAGAGUGGUCUAUUUUUAUUAAAUCUCGAUAGUAGUGAUACACAUAUUCAUAAUGUUGAAGCCAAAAGAUGCAGAGUUGAUAAUGAUAGUGCAACUUAUUUGUGGCAUUGCCGUUUGGGUCAUAUUGGUGUAAAGCGCAUGAAGAAACUCCAUACUGAUGGACUUAUGGAAUCACUUGAUUAUGAAUCACUUGGUACUUGCGAACCGUGCCUCAUGGGCAAGAUGACUAAAACGCUGUUCUCCGGAACUAUGGAGCGAAUAGCUGAUUUGUUGGAAAUCAUACAUACUGAUGUAUGUGGUCCAAUGAAUAUUGAGGCUCGCGGCGGGUAUCGUUAUUUUCUCACCUUCAUAGAUGAUUUGAGCAGAUAUGGGUAUAUCUACUUGAUGAAACACAAGUCUGGAACAUUUGAAAAGUUCAAAGAAUUUCAGAGUGAAGUGGAAAAUCAUCGUAACAAGAAAAUAAAGUUUCUACGAUCUGAUCGUGGAGGAGAAUAUUUGAGUUACGAGUUUGGUUUACAUUUGAAGCAAUGCAGAAUAGUUUCGCAACUCACGCCACCCGGAACACCACAACGAAAUGGUGUGUCCGAACGUCAUAAUCGUACUUUACUAGAUAUGGUGCGAUCUAUGAUGUCUCUUACUGAUUUACCGCUAUCGUUUUGGGUUAUGCUUUAGAGACGACCACAUUCACGGUAAAUAGGGCACCAUCAAUAUCCAUUGAGACGACGCCUUAUGAACUAUGGUUUGGCAAGAAACCAAAGUUGUCGUUUCUUAAAGUUUGGGGCUGCGAUGCUUAUGUGAAGAAACUUCAACCAGAUAAGCUGGAACCCAAAUCAGAGAAAUGUGUCUUCAUAGGAUACCCAAAAGAGACUAUUGGGUACACCUUCUAUCACAUAUCUGAGGGCAAGAUUUUUGUUGCUAAAUUCGGAUCCUUUCUAGAGAAGGAGUUUCUCUCAAAAGAAGUGAGUGGGAGGAAAGUAGAACUUGAUGAGGUAACUGUACCUGCUCCCUUAUUGGAAAGUAGUUCAUCACAAGAACCGGCUCCUGUGACAACUACACCAAUCAGUGAGGAAGCUAAUGAUAUUAAUCAUGAAACUUCAGAUCAAGUUACUACCGAACCUCGUAGGUCAAUCAGAGUAAGAUCCGCACCAGAGUGGUACGGUAAUCCUAUUCUGGAAGUCAUGUUACUUGACCAUGGCGAACCUACGAACUAUGAGGAAGCGAUGAUGAGCCCAGAUUCCGCAAAAUGGCUUGAGGCCAUGAAAUCUGAGAUGGGAUCCAUGUAUGAGAACAAAGUAUGGACUUUGGUUGACUUGCCCGAUGAUCGACAAGCCAUCAAGAAUAAAUGGAUCUUGAAGAAGAAGACUGACGCUGAUGGUAAUGUAUCUGUCUACAAAGCUCGACUUGUUGCGAAAGGUUUUCGACAAGUUCAAGGGGUUGACUAGGAUGAGACUUUCUCACCCAUAGCAAUGCUUAAGUCUGUACGAAUCAUGUUAGCAAUUGCCGCAUUUUAUGAUUAUGAAAUUUGGCAAAUGGAUGUCAAAACUGCAUUCCUGAAUGGAUUUCUGGAAGAAGAGUUGUAUAUGAUGCAGCCGGAAGGUUUUUUCGAUCCAAAAGGAGGUAACAAAGUGUGCAAGCUCCAGCGAUCCAUUUAUGGACUGGUGCAAGCCUCUCGGAGUUGGAAUAAACACUUUGAUAGUGUGAUCAAAGCAUAUGGUUUUAUACAGACUUUUGGAGAAGCCUGUAUUUACAAGAAAGUGAGUGGGAGCUCUGUAGCAUUUCUGAUAUUAUAUGUAGAUGACAUAUUGUUGAUUGGAAAUGAUAUAGAAUUUCUGGAUAGCAUAAAGGGAUACUUGAAUAAAAGUUUUUCAAUGAAAGACCUCGGUGAAGCUGCUUACAUAUUGGGCAUCAGGAUCUAUAGAGAUAGAUCAAGGCGCUUAAUUGGACUUUCACAAAGCACAUACCUUGAUAAAUUUUUGAAAAAGUUCAAAAUGGAUCAGGCAAAGAAAGGAUUCUUGCCUGUAUUACAAGGUGUGAAGUUGAGUCAGACUCAAUGCCCGACCACAACAGAAGAUAGAGAAAAAAAUGAAAGAUGUUCCCUAUGCUUCAGCCAUAGGCUCUAUCAUGUAUGCAAUGCUGUGUACCAGACCUGACGUAUGCUUAGCAAUAAGUUUGGUAGGGAGGUACCAAAGUAAUCUAGGAGUGGAUCACUGGACAACGGUCAAGAACAUCCUGAAAUACCUGAAAAGGACUAAGGAUAUGUUUCUCGUUUAUGGAGGUGACAAAGAGCUAGUCGUAAAUGGUUACGUCGAUGCAAGCUUUGACACUGAUCUGGAUGAUUCUAAAUCGCAAACCAGAUACAUGUUUAUAUUGAAUGGUGGAGCUGUCAGUUGGUGUAGUUCUAAACAAAGCAUCGUGGCGGGAUCUACAUGCGAAGCGGAGUACAUAGCUGCUUCGGAAGCAACAAAUGAAGGAGUCUGGAUGAAAGAGAUCAUUUCCGAUCUAGGUGUCAUACCUAGUGCAUUGGGACCAAUGAAGAUCUUCUGUGAUAAUACUGGUGCAAUUGCCUUGGCAAAGGAAUCCAGAUUUCACAAGAGGACCAAGCACAUCAAGAGACGCUUCAAUUCCAUCCGGGACCAAGUCCAGGUGGGAGACAUAGAGAUUUGCAAGAUACAUACGGAUCUGAAUGUUGCAGACCCGUUGACUAAGCCUCUUCCACGAGCAAAACAUGAUCAACACCAAGACUCUAUGGGUGUUAGAAUCAUUACUGUGUAAUCUAGAUUAUUGACUCUAGUGCAAGUGGGAGACUGAAGGAAAUAUGCCCUAGAGGCAAUAAUAAAGUUAUUAUUUAUUUCCUCAUAUCAUGAUAAAUGUUUAUUAUUCAUGCUAGAAUUGUAUUAACCGGAAACAUGAUACAUGUGUGAAUACAUAGACAAACUUAGUGUCACUAGUAUGCCUCUACUUGACUAGCUCAUUAAUCAAAGAUGGUUAUGUUUCCUAACCAUAGACAUGUGUUGUCAUUUGAUUAACGGGAUCACAUCAUUAGGAGAAUGAUGUGAUUGACUUGACCCAUUCCGUUAGCUUAGCACCCAAUCAUUUAGUAUGUUGCUAUUGCUUUCUUCAUGACUUAUACAUGUUCCUAUGACUAUGAGAUUAUGCAACUCCCGUUUACCAAAGGAACACUUUGUGUGCUACCAAAUGUCACAACGUAACUGGGUGAUUAUAAAGGAGCUCUACAUGUGUAUCCAAAGGUACAUGUUGAGUUGGCGUAUUUCGAGAUUAGGUUUUGUCACUCCGAUUGUCGGAGAGGUAUCUCUGGGCCCUCUCGGUAAUGCACAUCACUAUAAGCCUUGCAAGCAAUGUAGCUAAAGAGUUAGUUACGAAAUGAUGCAUUACGUAACGAGUAAAGAUACUUGCCGGUAACGAGAUUGAACUAGGUAUUAGGAUACCGAUGAUCGAAUCUCGGGCAAGUAACAUACCGAUGACAAAGGGAACAAUGUAUGUUGUUAUGCGGUUUGACCGAUAAAUAUCUUCGUAGAAUAUGUAGGAGCCAAUAUGAGCAUCCAGGUUCCGCUAUUGGUUAUUGACCGGAAACGGUUCUCGGUCAUGUCUACAUAGUUCUUGAACCCGUAGGGUCCGCACGCUUAAGGUUUCGAUGAUAGUUAUAUUAUGAGUUUAUGAGUUUUGAUGUACCGAAGUUUGUUCGGAGUCCCAAAUGUGAUUACGGACAUGACGAGGAGUCUCGAAAUGGUCGAUACAUGAAGAUUGAUAUAUUGGAAGCCUAUAUUUGGAUGUCGGAAGUGUUCCGGGUGAAAUCGGGAUUUUACCGGAGUACUGGGAGGUUACCGGACCCCCCGGGAGCUUAAUGGGCCUACAAGGACAUUUGUGGAAAUAGAGGGCAGCAAGGGGAAUGAGGGGCGUGCCCCACAAUGUGGCACCCCGGCUCAGAGAAAACCGGAACGCCCCGUAUUCCAGCCCAGAGAUCGAGGAGAAGUCUUCUGGAAUACGACACUGCUUAGCAUAGAACAAACCAGCUCUUUAUUAUUACACGAAUAUGAAUACAAGGUUGCCGAUAUUACAAUGAAUAACAUCGGUAUGGCGACACUACGCUAUCCUCAGUUGCUCUAUGCAAGCAGCAGAACAACUCAAAGCAGCGAAAGAACGACGACGGUGGUGAACUCCACUCCGCAGGGACUCUGCCUGGAACGCUGAUCCUAGCUCGCACGAACGGAAACCACAACAAGCAAGCAAUCAAAUCCGGCAUGACCUGCAAACUGGCAUGGCAUGCCAGGUCAGUACAUUGAAUGUACUUGCAAGCUCACAAUAACCAGAAGCAUUCAAGAUAGACAACAACAUGGCAAUUACAGGUUAAACAAGAAUUAUCAUGAGAUCAUCAGAACAAUAUAACAUGGCAUGACCAAUAUAAACAUGAUACAACUAACACAACAUGAACAUAUUAAUCUGACAUUACUAGCAUGCAACAUGAUGACACUAUAUGCACCAUUUAUUGUGCUCGGGUUACCUCGUAACCAACACAUGCAUCACUUACCAACCUCAGACAUCACACGAUCAUCUCAGGAUCAAAUCAAGCUUGGCAUAAACAAUACCAUAUCGAUCAUUAAAUAACCACAAGGAGCUUGAUCUUUACCCACGACUCUCGUACAGCAUCACGAAUAUACAACAACUCGGUAUCCUCGACACCACCGUGAUCCUUACGGUGAUCACCACCCGACCAACACUUGGCCCGUGAUCCUUACGGAGAUCACAACCCGACCACUACAUGGCCCGUGAUCCUUACGGCGAUCACAACCCGACCAAUACAUGGCCCGUGAUCCUUACGGCGAUCACCACCGAACUUAUCUCAUUAUUAUUAAGCACAUUAUUCUUAUUACUGUUGACUCAUGGUGUGACCUUCUCUCGACCUGGGCCCUUAUCCGCGGGCGCGGCUAUCGAUAGAUUAAAAACACUCUGCAGAGGUUAGUACACUAUACCCACACUAUGGAACCCAUGGCCUCGCACUCCCGUUCGUGUGGACCAACGACGUUCCGACAAAACCGAUCUACUGCCAUGAUACUCUCCCGGCCACUCCGACUCACUCCUCACUGAGCUAAGUCAUGGGUGGCCCCGUGCCUACCUCCAGACACAACGACCACCGUCGUGGCCCAACACAUAAACGAUCCCACACGGAGAUCCGCCGGCUAUAAUAACAACGGGCACACAAGGUUAUGCUCCGCCUACCUGAUCAGGGUAGCACGCUCCCAUAACCUUCCCUCGUUGGAGGCACCGGCGAGAGGCACAACAAUAGACCCAGUUAGGACCGUCCCAUACCGUUAAGCGUGGUUGCACUGGCUAGCAUCAAUUCAGCGGCACCAUGACUCAGCCAACAGAUGUUCAAGUUCAAUUUAAUCCGGUUAACUUGAAUGCAAAUAUGUCGAGCCAUGAUAAAAUAACAUGAUGCCAACCAUAAUACAUGAACAUGAUAUCAACAUCAUCAUGAGGGUAUCACAUAACUAUCCACCAUAUCAACAAUAACUCAUAUCCACUGAGCAUGGCAUACUGACUAGCAUGACCAUCACCAACAUCAACAUGUACUACUAACCAGCAUAAUCAUAUGAAAGGUAAUACUAACUGGUAUAACAUGAUCAUAGAGUAUAAGACAACAUAACACAAAAGUGAACAUGCAAAUCUGAACAUCAUCAGAACAAUGAUAACCAACUUUUCAACAAGAAAACAUUUAUUAAAGAUUCAAGUUGAAAACCAUAGCUACUGCAUGACUAUCAUGCAAGUGGGUAUUGUGGCUUGCCUGGGGGUGAAGAAGGCAUCGGGGAGAAGUGCGGUGAAGCCGCGGAAAGAUUCGCAGGAAAUCAUUCUCUCUCGGAGGAGGCUGAAUAAGGGCAAGGGCAUAAAGGUCAUUUUCACAGUGUCAAACCAUAGUGAAAGCAUGACCAACAGAACGGGCUUGACGAAACGAAGAAGUGAGCAUUGGAUUCACCUCAAACGGAGUUACGGUUAAAAAGUUAUAAGGGUUUUACUACCACAGACCUAUCUGUAAUGAAAAACUUUUCAACUAGGGGCCUGAACAGAAAAAGAGAAAAUGUAAACAGAGGAAUACGCUUUCACCUUAUCCGUUUGAACAGUGGCGGGGCUGACGCGUGUGGGUCCCACGGGUGGUGCCUGUCACUUAUCCAUGCUGGCGGGGCUCGGUCAACGCCUGAGGGGGCUGACCGGUGGGGUCCGCGCGUAGGUGGGGGGCCACCUGGCUCGUCUCCUUCUUCGUCCCGACGCUGCCCGAUGGAGCAGAGGAUGGGGCGAGCUCCGGUGACGACUGCCGGCGCUACAGGCCACCAUUCGCGGCGCUCGGACCACCGGCGUGCUCGGGAGACGGAGCCGCGUCGGAUGGGCCAUUCCACGGACGCCGAGGAGGAUUGGAGCGGCUAGGCGGUGGACUUCAGCGGAGAUGGCCUUGGGUGAGAUGGGGCUAUGGGGCUACGGGGUACUCCGGCGAGGAGCAAGUAGGUGGGGAGGGUCAGGAGGUCGAGGGAACUCCUCCGGUGGUUACAGACAAGAGGGGGAGGGCCGGCAUCGAGCUAAUCUUGCCGGGCCAAGGCGGCGGCCAUGGCGGUAGAGAGAGGGCAGGAGAGCUUCUCGAGCUCAUUCGACUGGACAGGGAGGUUGCUGGGAGAGUGGUGAGGCUCGGGGUGAGCUCGGAGAGGCUCGGGGAUUUCUAUAUAUAGCCGGGGCGAGGAGGGCUGAGCUAGCACCGCCGGCGACGCGUAUCCGGCGCCGCGGACUUGUGUGCUCGUGCAUCGACUCGGGGGAAGGCGACGGCGACGCACAGGGAAGAGCUCACGGGGUAGAAGGGGUCGAGGGACGCAGAGGAGAAACGGCCGAACGCCAUUAAAGCCAUGGUCGGCCACAGUGCGUCCGUGGGCCCGCGGCGUUGAGCGCCAACGAGGAAGCGGACGGAGAGGGAGAGGGGUCCAGGGGAACGACGACGAGGAGAGGAAUCCACUGGACAUGAUCACGGGCGCGAAGACAACGAGAGGGGGAGGGGCCCGAGCACAAACGGCCACUGGACGCGCUCAUGGCAUGCCAAAACGGUGGUCACCAUCGGUGCUGGCAUGUCCUGGAGGCAAAUAGCUGGAAAACGUUGUCUAGUGGUAAGUCCUUCCUGGGUAGAUAUCAACUGAGGUGGUAACUUGGUUAAAGGCACUCUGGUUAAAAAGAAAUAACCCUCUGAAGUUUACUGCAGUAAACUUCAUCAGCUCAAUGAGGUCAACAGGGACAAGCUAUGGGCCAAAUAAGAUGUCUGGGGUGUUUAGGAUAGGAAGGACUACAGUCCUGGGGAGUAUGAGGGUAAAAUGAUCAAGAUUUACUAUAGUUUCUUCACAACUACAUACUUGGUCCAGAAAUGAAGAUUAGCAAGAUGCACUCACAUGGAGUGUCCACUUGAUCUCAAAUUGGGCAAGGCUUAGUCAUUAGGUCAUAUGAUGAUGCUGUAAAAAGGUCAUGCCAAAUGGACAAACCAAAAUAGCACUUGCUUCACAAACAUCUCCUGUGGACAGAAACUUGAAAUAAUUAUGGUGGUCAAAUGGAUCAAUGAAAUGAUUCCCAAAUGGGUGGAGGGAUGUUUUAUGGGUAUAAGAAUGAUUUGGUAAUUUAUCAGGAUUUUUGAAGCAAUAUAAAAUAUACUUGCUUCACAACGUGAAAAUAUUGUCAGAAACAAAGAUUUGCUCUUGUGCUCACAUAGAUGAUUGGGUGGGGGCUACAAAUGGGUGGAGGGGAUUAAUAUGAGCACAUUAAGGAGUGUGCAAAAGUUCAACUCAUUUGGGUACUCCUAGCUAGUACUUCCUUCACAAAGCCUUCUAUCAGACAGAAACUUUGAAAAUUCACUGAGGAAGAUUGGCUAGGCAAAUAAAUUUGAACUUCUGCAUGGGGUAAUUAUUUGGACAUAUAAACAUUCCCAAAAAGGCUGGGAGUCAAUAGGAGAAAUAUAAAUGACACUUCCUUCACAAAGUGCCAUUCAGGGCAGAAUAGGAAAAGGAACAUUGGGGAAUUAUUUUUGAACAUGGAAAUGAAACGUUUUGCCAUAUUUGAUCAAGAUAUGACCCAAACAAUUUAUGAGAAUUAUUUGGGAAUUUUUGGAGUGAUGGAAAUAUAGGUUGCUUCACAACCUAGGGCAAUUGGAGUUAUUCCUUCAAUAGAAAAGGAAUAUUCCCAAUAAAAAGAAUAUUGGGAUUUGGGCUAGGAUGGAAAUGACAGGGUCUAGGGAAAGAUUUGGGAAUGGCAAGCCACUCUGGAAACAAAGAAGAGGUCAUCUUCUUCGGUUUCCAGACCACAAAGCCGCGGAAAAAGAAAACUCGGGCAAAAACCUCGGAGAAACAAAUGAAAAAGAAAGGACCAGAAAUCAGGCUGUGACAAACCUUACCGCCUUAAAGAAAUCUCGUCCUCAAGAUUUGGUUGCUAAGGGAACUAGUAUGAAUAUUCUGACUUAAGGAAACCUUUUCCAACUUGGGUAUCCUUUUUCUUUUUAGAUCUGCUGAUUAGCUGAGUGUGAUUUAAUUAUCACGACUAAAAUAUAUGUCAGUCUCACAAAUCCAAAAGUGAUUUCCGCUGGGUGUGCCACCCGACACUGACAACCUUGCAUGUAAUGAUGAUCAGAUUUUUCUGAUGAAAACUCAAACUCUGACUCAUUGCAUUGGGUUUCUCCACUAAAUGCAAGUCCUUUGGGUUCCAAACAGUGAGUUAAAACAUAACCGUUUUCUGACAGAUUCUGACUCAUCGCAGAAGUUUCUGAAUCAUCUUGAGUGGUUCCACUGUCGUGAGUAUCAGAUCGAUACCAAAUAUUUGAUUGUCUCCUAUCAGGGCUAGCAUAAAGGGUUUGGCCUGUAUGAUAAUAUAUGCAGACUUGGCUGACAGUGGUUCUGACGGAAAAAUUUUGUUCACGACAGACUAUCCAUUAUGAUUCAUAUAAGUGAGGACUCAGGCUUCCAGACUAUUAUUCCUCAUGCCAAUUACUCAUGCUGUAGGCAUAUCCAUGUGGAUCAAUACAGUCUUAGACUGUCCGGGGGAUCUGCACCAUAGGGGUCGUGUACAAUUUUCAUACCUGCAUCACUAGUCUUGCUCCUUCAUUAUUGUUUUCUAGGUCUGGAUCCUUGCCUGAAAGAGCUGGGCCAUAUUAUUUCUUUGUACGACCAUAGGUACUGUCGGUGCAAUUUUUUGGCAAUUGUAGUUUAGCCUUACUUUUUUGAUAAGGUAACCCAUGAAAUGGCAUGUUCAACACCUCUCAAGUUCUGAUCGUUGGGAAAUGAUCAUCCAAAACCCUUGCAAGAAAUCGGCAAAUAAAUCAGUAGCCACCAGAACGGUAUUUACAACUCAGAUCUGGGACAUUUCUGAAAUAACUCAACCACGGCUCAAGACGACCGAAAAGCAGCUCAGAGCAUGAGACCGGGUCGCUAGGAAGAAGGUGGCAGCUCCCUAAAAUAGCCAAAAAGCAGCUAUCGGGCAUACUGUCACAAAAAUAAACUCAACGACUGUAUGAGACAGCCGAAAAGCAGCUCAGACUCAUGAUAGUUGUUGAAGAGAGAAACAAAAAUAGGCAUCCACCCUGGAUAGCUAGAAACAACUCAGAUCACAGGCGUGGUGCCGUUAUUGGAGAAAAGGGGACAAGGGCUCACCAGGAUCAUUUUCCAGUUCACAAGUACUUGUACUGAGCUCACUGAGGUCGUCAAUCCUCAUAAUCCUUUGUCACAUUGCGGUGUAUACUGGCUUUCUUCUCUUAAUCAUCCUCACGUGGUUAUCAGAUCCUCAUCCGAGUGACUUGUAAGAUCUUGACGAUAUGCUCAUUGCAUAUAUAUGAGAAUCUGAUUCCUAAGACAGACGUGUAUUCUGACUGUUGGUACCUUAUGCCGGAAGCUUUUGCGGUUGCUUACUGAAGAAGACAGGGUACCUUGUACAGAAAAUCAUCCAUGUAUCGUACUGAGGAAGAUAGAUGAAUCUUGGCUUGGAAGCUUCUCUGGUAUCUUGCGAGGGAAGACUGGGUUGCUCACACCAGAAGCUUCUUAUUGUGAUAUGCGGACCGAUUUCCACAUAUAUAACCAUCUAAAUAUUUUUGUUGUUGAUUUCUUGCAUGAAACGGGGUUUUGGAGGACUGUCCUCCUUUCUGAGUACAUGCCAUAUUUUUGUUUGCUUCCAGGUACAUCGAGUUCCAAAAUCAUCCUCAAUGAAAAAUUAAACUUGUAUCUGAGCCAUACCUUUGAUAAUAUUCUUCCAACCUUGCACACAAUUUAUCUUCUUGCUGAUUUAAUUAUUUUGUUGUGAUGAGUGCACGCUAAUGCAAACUUGAUACUGACGGUCCAUCCAUGAUUUCUUUUGCAUUCAGACGAGAUAUUCCAAUUUCACUGCAGUCAGCUGAUAGUUCCAUUCUGUUUAGCUGAGUUUCCAAAUGUAUGCAUUUCUUGCUGACUCUUCGGGUCCGGUGUCGGUUGACGAGCAACUUUAAUAGGGGGGGGGAAUUUGUAACACCGAAGGCCCAAAGAAAGGAACAACAUAAACGACUAAAACAAAAGCACACAAGCAUACUACUAAUAUAAUUCGUCAAGCAAUCAUCACAUAUUAUUGCUACUCACGCAAUAAUAUGCAUGCACACCUAAGCACACAAUUCUCGCGGAAACUCUGGUAUUGCGGUCUAAUAUGCUCUGACGAUGUGCACGAGGACGAAUAAAUGUGUGGAGGAAUUGGUGUAAACAGCGCUACACCAAGUGCUAGCUUAGCCAGAUAGCAACCUGGACUAGCUCGGAGGCGAGGACGUAAUCGGUAAUCAUGCAGUAGGACACGAAGGUCGCAACCACAUUAUUAUCAAGCGGACGGAAAAAGAUCCGUACUCGUCCAAGAAAUAGGAUAGCGGGGAAAAAGUGAGGCUGCUGACAUUGCCCUUUAUUGAUAACUAAGAUCAUUAAGGGUUGCCAACACGACAAAAUAAAAGAACGAUCCGGGAUAGACGCAUGUCCAUCACCGAAAUGAUAGACAGGACUGAAGGAAAGACAUCGGCGCGAUACCUGAGCACCAUUUUUGCAAACAGUGUCAGGAUCACUUGGCAUCACUCUGCUGGGACAGAAAUGACACCAAACACCGAAAGAAAAAGGGGCUGGCGAAAUGCAAAGGUUGAGCUGUAGUGGAUCCGAACCGAUGCCAACUAGACUCACCAGAUAAACCGUUAGCGACUAAAUAAUAAUCUAUAUGCAUGCUAUGUGACAAACAAAUACAGCAAUCAAGUUCAACAAACCAAUUGGGGUUUAUACUACCGCUUUCUAACGUUCACGUGGUCUAGGGUGUCCUACAGCCAGACCUGCUCUGAUACCAAGCCUAUGGCACCCCGGCUCAGAGAAAACCGGAACGCCCCGUAUUCCAGCCCAAAGAUCGAGGAGAAGUCUUCUGGAAUACGACAUUGCUUAGCAUAGAACAAACCAGCUCUUUAUUAUUACACGAAUAUGAAUACAAGGUUGCCGAUAUUACAAUGAAUAACAUCGGUACGGCGACACUACGCCAUCCUCAGUUGCUCUAUGCAAGCAGCAGAACAACUCGAAGCAGCGGAAUAACUCUAGCAGCGGAACAACGGCGACGGUGGUGAACUCCACUCUGCAGGGACUCUGACUGGAACGCUGAUCCUAGCUCGCAUGAACGGAAAACACAGCAAGCAAGCAAUCAAAUCCGGCAUGACCUACAAACUGGCAUGACACGCCAGGUCAGUACAUUGAAUGUACUUGCAAGCUCACAAUAACCAGAAGCAUUCAGACAGACAACAACAUGGCAAUUAGAGGUUAAAUAAGAAUUAUCAUGAGAUCAUCAGAAUAAUAUAACAUGGCAUGACCAAUAUAAACAUGAUACAACUAACACAACAUGAACAUAUUAAUAUGACAUUACUAGCAUGCAACAUGAUGACACUAUAUGCACCAUUUAUUGUGCUCGGGUUACCUCGUAACCAACACAUGCAUCACUUACCAACCUCAGACAUCACACGAUCAUCUCAGGAUCAAAUCAAGCUUGGCAUAAACAAUACCAUAUCGAUCAUUAAAUAAACACAAGGAGCUUGAUCUUUACCCACGACUCUCGUACAGCAUCACGAAUAUACAACAACUCGGUAUCCUCGACACCACCGUGAUCCUUACGGUGAUCACCACCCGACCAACACUUGGCCCAUGAUCCUUACGGCGAUCACAACCCGACCACUACAUGGCCCGUGAUCCUUACGGCGAUCACAACCCGACCAAUACAUGGCCCGUGAUCCUUACGGCGAUCACCACCGAACUUAUCUCAUUAUUAUUAAGCACAUUAUUCUUAUUACUGUUGACUCAUGGUGUGACCUUCUCUCGACCUGGGCCCUUAUCCGCGGGCGCGGCUAUCGAUAGAUUAAAAACACUCUGCAGAGGUUAGUACACUGUACCCACACUAUGGAACCCAUGGCCUCGCACUCCCGUUCGUGUGGACCAACAACGUUCCGACAAAACCGAUCUACUGCCAUGAUACUCUCCCGGCCACUCCGACUCACUCCUCACUGAGCUAAGUCAUGGGUGGCCCCGUGCCUACCUCCAGACACAACGACCACCGUCGUGGCCCAACACAUAAAUGAUCCCACACGGAGAUCCGCCGGCUAUAAUAACAAUGGGCACACAAGGUUAUGCUCCGCCUACCUGAUCAGGGUAGCACGCGCCCAUAACCUUCCCUCGUUGGAGGCACCGGUGAGAGGCACAACAAUAGACCCAGUUAGGACCGUCCCAUACCGUUAAGCGUGGUUGCACUGGCCAGCAUCAAUUCAGCGGCACCAUGACUCAGCCAACAGAUGUUCAAGUUCAAUUUAAUCCGGUUAACUUGAAUGCAAAUAUGUCGAGCCAUGAUAAAAUAACAUGAUGCCAACCAUAAUACAUGAACAUGAUAUCAACAUCAUCAUGAGGGUAUCACAUAACUAUCCACCAUAUCAACAAUAACUCAUAUCCACUGAGCAUGGCAUACUGACUAGCAUGACCAUCACCAACAUCAACAUGUACUACUAACCAGCAUAAUCAUAUGAAAGUUAAUACUAACAGGUAUAACAUGAUCACAGAGUAUAAGACAACAUAGCACAAAAGUGAACAUGCAAAUCUGAACAUCACCGGAACAACGAUAACCAACUUUUCAACAAGCAAACAUUUAUUAAAGAUUCAAGUUGAAAACCAUAGCUACUGCAUGACUAUCAUGCAAGUGGGUAUUGUGGCUUGCCUGGGGGUGAAGAAGGCACCAGGGAGAAGCGCGGUGAAGCCGCGGAAAGAUUCGCCGGAAAUCGUUAUCUCUCGGAUGAGGCUGAAUCAGGGAAAGGGCAUAAAGCUCAUUUUCACAGUGUCAAACCAUAGUGAAAGCAUGACCAACAGAACGGGCUCGACGAAACAAAGAAGUGAGCGUUGGAUUCACCUCAAACGGAGUUACGGUUAAAAAGUCAUAAGGGUUUUACUGCCAGGGACCUAUCUGUAAUGAAAAAGUUUUCAACUAGGGGCCUGAACAGAAAAAGAAAAAAAGUAAACAGAGGAAUACACUUUCACCUUAUCCGUUGGAACAGUAGUGGGGCUGACGCGUGCGGGUCCCACGGGUGGGGCCCGUCACUUAUCCAUGCUGGCGGGGCUCGGUCAACGUCUGAGGGGCUGACCAGUGGGGUCCGCGCGCAGGGGGGGGAGGCACCUGGCUCGUCUCCUUCUUCGUCCCGACGCCGCCCGACGGAGCAGAGGACGGGGCGAGCCCCGGCAACGACUGCCGGUGCUACGGGCCACCAUUCGCGGCGCUCGGACCACCAGCGUGCUCUGGAGACGGAGCCUCGUCGGAUGGGCCAUUCCACGGACACCGAGGAGGAUUGGAGCGGCUAGGCGGUGGACUCCGGCGGAGAUGGCCUCGGGUGAGAUGGGGCUACGGGGCUACGGGGUACUCCGGCGAGGGGCAAGUAGGUGGGGAGGGUCAGGAGGUUGAGGGGACUCCUCCGAUGGCUAUAGACAAGAGGGGGAGGGCCGGCAUCGAGCUAAUCUUGCCGAGCCGAGGCGGCAGAGAGAGGGCAGGAGAGCUUCUCGAGCUUGUUCGACUGGACGGGGAGGUUGCUGGGAGAGUGGUGAGGCUCGGGGUGAGCUCGGAGAGGCUCGGGGAUGGCUAUAUAUAGCCGGGGCGAGGAGGGCCGAGCUGGCACCGCUGGCGACGCAUGUCCGGCGCCGCGGACACGUGUUCUCGUGCAUGGAAUCGGGGGAAGGCGACUACAACGCACAGGGAGGAGCUCACGGGGUAGAAGGGGUUGAGGGACGCAGAGGAGAAACGGCCGAACGCCAUUAAAGCCUCGGUCGACCAGAGUGCGUCCGUGGGCGCGCGGCGUUGAGCGCCGACGAGGAAGCGGACGGAGGGGGAGAGGGGUCCAGGGGAACGGUGACGAGGAGAGGAAUCCACUGGACGUGAUCAUGGGCGCGAAGACAGCGAGAGGGGGAGGGGCCCGAGCACAAACGGCCACUGGACGCGCUCAUGGCAUGCCAAAAAGGUGGUCACCACCAGUGCUGGCAUGUCCUGGAGGCAAACAGCUGGAAAACGUUGUCUAGUGGUAAGUCCUCCCUGGGUAGAUAUCAACUGAGGUGGUAACUUGGUUAAAGGCACUCUGGUUAAAAAGAAAUAACCCUCUGAAGUUUACUACAAUAAACUUCAUCAGCUCAAUGAGGUCAACAGGGACAAGCUAUGGGCCAAAUAAGAUGUCUGUGGUGUUUAGGAUAGGAAGGACUACAGUCGUGGGGAGUAUGAGGGUAAAAUGAUCAAGAUUUACUGCAGUUGCUUCACAACUACAUACUUGGUCCAGGAAUGAAGAUUAGCAAGAUGCACUCACAUGGAGUGUCCAUUUGAGCUAAAAUUGGGCAAGGCUUAGUCAUUAGGUCGUAUGAUGAUGCUGUAAAAAGCUCAUGCCAAAUGGACAAACCAAAAUAGCACUUGCUUCACAAACAUCUCCUCUGGACAGAAACUUGAAAUAAUUAUGGUGGUCAAAUGGAUCAAUGAAAUGAUUCCAAAAUGGGUGGAGGGAUGUUUUAUGGGUAGCAAAAUGAUCUGGUUAUUUAUUAGGAUUUUUGAAGCAAUAUACAAUAUACUUGCUUCACAACCUGAAAAUAUUGUCAGAAACAAAGAUUUGCUCCUGUGCUCACAUAGAUGAUUGGGUGGGGCUACAAAUGGGUGGAGGGGAUUAAUAUGAGCACAUUAAGGAGUAUGCAAAAGUUCAACGCAUUUGGGUACUCCUAGCUAGUACUUCCUUCACAAAGCCUUCUGUCAGACAGAAACUUUGAAAAUUGUCUGAGGAAGAUUGGCUAGGCUAAUAAAUUUUAACUUGUGCAUGGGGCAAUUAUUUGGACAUAUAAACAUGCCCAAAAAGGUUGGGAGUCAGUAGGUGAAUUAUAAGUGACACUUCCUUCACAAAGUGCCAUUCAGGGCAGAAUAGGAAAAGGAAUAUUGGGGAAUUAAUUUUGAACAUGGAAAUGAAACGUUUUUCCAUAUUUGAUCAAGAUAUGACCCAAAAAAUUUAUGAGAAUUAUUUGGGAAUUUUUGGAGUGAUGGAAAUAUAGGUUACUUCACAACCUAGGGCAAUUGGAGUUAUUCCUUUAAUAAAAAAGGAAUAUUCCCAAUAAAAAGAAUAUUGGGAUUUGGGCUAGGAUGGAAAUGACAGGGUCUAGGGAAAGAUUUGGGAAUGUCAAGCCACUCUGGAAACAAAGAAGAGGUCAUCUUCUUCGGUUUCCAGACCACAAAGCCGCGGAAAAAAAACCCUCGGAGAAACAAAAGAAAAAGAAAGGACCAAAAAUCAGGCUGUGACACCCAAGGCCCAAACCGAAUUGGUUUAGGGCAAGGGGGGCCGGCCCCCCUCUUUCCUUCUCCUCCUCUCCCUUUCCUUCCCCUCUCCUAGUCCAACAAGGAAGGGGGGAGUCCUACUCUCGGUGGGAGUAGGACUCCCCAUGGCGCGCCCCCUCCUAGGUCGGCCGCCCCCUUCCCCCUUUCUCCUUUAUAUACGGGGGCAGGGAGGCACCUCUAAGACACAACAAUUGAUCUCUUGAUCUCUUAGCCGUGUGCGGUGCCCUCCUCCACCAUAGUCCUCCUCGAUAAUAUUGUAGCGGUGCUUAGGUGAAGCCCUGCGAUGGUAGAACAUCAAGAUCAUCACCACGCCGUCGUGCUGACGGAACUCUUCCCUGACAUUCUAGUGGAUCGGAGUACGGGGAACGUCAUCGAGCUGAACGUGUGCCAGAACUCGGAGGUGCUGUAGUUUCGGUGCUUGAUCGGUCGGGCCAUGAAGACGUAUGACUACAUCAACCGCGUUGUUCUAAUGCUUCCGCUUUCGGUCUAUGAGGGUACGUGGACAACACUCUCCCAUCUCGUUGCUAUGCAUCACCAUGAUCUUGGUGUGCGUAGGAUUUUUUUUUGAAAUUACUACGUUCCCCAACAGGGAUUGCCAUGCAACGGAUGCACUAGAGCUAUAAAUGAAUGCUCAACAAAGAAAACUAGUGGGUGUGCAUCCAACUUGCUUGCUCACGAAGACCUAGGGCAUUUGAGGAAGCCCAUCGUAGGAAUAUACAAGCCAAGUUCUAUAAUGAAAAAUUCCCACUAGUAUGAAAAAGACAACUUAUGAGACUCAUUAUAUGAAAAACAUGGUGCUACUUUGAAGCACAAGUGUGGAAAAAGAGAUAGUAACAUUGCCCUUUUUAUUUAUUUUCUUAUUUUUCUUUUUUCUUUUCUUUUUUCUUUCUUUUUCUUUUCUUUUGGGACUUUCUUUUUUUCUUUUGGCCUUUCUUCUUUUUCUUUUUCUUUUUGGGCAAUGCUCUAAUAAUGAUGAUCAUCACACUUCUAUUGAUUACAACCUAUGAAUUACAACUCGAAACUAGAACAAGAUAUGACUCUAUAUGAAUGCCUCCGGCGGUGUACCGGGAUGGUGCAAUGAAUUAAGAGUGACAUGUAUGAAAAAUAAUGCAUGGUGGCUUUGCCACAAAUACGAUGUCAACUACAUGAUCAUGUAAUGGCAAUAUGACAAAAGUAAAGUAUGUGAUGAUGAUGAUAAACGGAACGGUGGAAAGUUGCAUGGCAAUAUAUCUCGGAAUGGCUAUGGAAAUGCCAUAAUAGGUAGGUAUGGUGGCUGUUUUGAGGAAGAUAUAAGGAGGUUUAUGUGUGAUAGAGCGUAUCAUAUCACGGGGUUUGGAUGCACCGGUGAAGUUUGCACCAACUCUCAAGGUGAGAAAGGGCAAUGCACGGUACCGAAGAGGCUAGCAAUGGUGGAAAGGUAAAAGUGCGUAUAAUCCAUGGAAUCAACAUUAGUCAAAAGAACUCAUAUACUUAUUGCAAAAAUUUAGAAGUUAUCAAAAAUCAAGCACUAUGCGCAUGAUCCUAGGGGGAUAGAUUGGUAAGAAAAGACCAUCGCUCGUCCCCGACCGCCACUCAUAAGGAUGCACAAGCCAGGUACACUUCAUGUUUCAAAUUUGUUACACAAGUUUAACCAUACGUGCAUGCUACGGGACUUGCUAACUUCAACACAAGUAUUCUUUAAAUUCAUAAUCACCCAACUAGCAUGACUUUAAUAUCACUACCUCCAUAUCUCAAAACAAUUAUCAAGUAUAAAAUUGAUCAUAGCAUCCAAUUCACUUCCUAUGAUAUUUUUAUUAUACCCAACUUGGAUGCCUACCAUUCUAGGACCAAUUUUAUAACUAUAGCAAAUACCAUGCUGUUCUAAAAGACUCUCAAAAAGAUAUAAGUGAAGCAUGAGAGACUAUCAAUUUCUACAAAAAUAAGUCACCGCCGUGCUCUAAAAGAUAUAAGUGAAGCACUAGAGCAAAAACUAUCAAGCUCAAAAGAUAUAAGUGAAGCACAUAGAGUAUUCUAGCAAAUUAUAAUCAAGUGGGCUUCUCCCAAAAGGUGUGUACAACAAGGAUUAUUGUGGUAAACUAAAAAGCAAAGACUAAUAUAAUACACGACGCUUCAAGCAAAACACAUAUCAUGUGGCGAAUAAAAAUAUAGCUCCAAGUAAAGUUACCAAUGAACGAAGACGAAAGAGGGGAUGCCUUCCUGGGGCAUCCCCAAGCUUAGGCUUUUGGCUAUCCUUGAAUAUCUUGGGGUGCCAUGGGCAUCCCCAAGCUUAGGCUCUUGCCACUCCUUAUCCCAUAUUCCAUAACAGCUUUACCCAAAACUUGAAAACUUCACAACACAAAACUCAACAGGAAAUCUUAUAAGCUCCGUUAGUGAAAGAAAACAAAACCACCACAUAAGGUACUGUAAUGAACUCAUUCUUUAUUUAUUUUAGUGUUAAACCUACUGUAAUCCAACUGCUCUAUGGUUUAUAAACUAUUUUACUAGCCAUAGAUGCAUCGAAAUAAGCAAACAACACACGAAAAACAGAAUCUGUCAAAAACAGAAUAGUCUGUAGAAAUCUGUAACUAACACAAACUUCUGGAACUCUAAAAAUCCUACCAAAAUAGGAAGUCCUGGACAAUUUGUCUAUUGAUAAGAAGCAAAAAUAAUCAACGCAAAAUAACGUUUCUUUGAUUUAACAAAAUUAAAUUCGGUCGUGCAAAGUUUCUGUUUUUCAGUAGAAUCAAAUCAACUAUCAUCAUAGGUCAUCCUAUAGGUUCUACUUGGCACAAACACUAAUUAAAAGAUAAAAACACAUCUAAACAGAAAUUAGAUGCAAGAUUUAUUACUAAACAUGAACAAAAACAAAAAACAC